rnacentral:lncRNA from 1 species
AGCAAUGACAAUCCACAUCUCGUGUUCGGCUCAAAAUGAGCUUGAGACUACCGAUGACACGUUUAAUAGACGAGCCGAACACAAGCUUAAUUUUUUAGCUCGAAAUCUUAACAAAUCGGACACGAGUUAGAAUCAGUUCGCUCAUAUUUCGGCUCAAUAUAGCUCGAUAUAGAUAUUACAAAUUUUUACUAUUUAGAUUCUAGUCCAAUUCAAAUGUAAAGAGAUCUAUAUUUUAGUUUUUUAUUUUAUUUUUUUCAAUUUUUCAUGCAGUAGGAGGGAUGAGGGUCUAACAUGCUGUUUGCAACUUUUUAUAUCGUUAAAUGAGAAAAUGACUUUUAUCGAGCGUUAAAAUUAUAAAACUUUACAACUUUUUAAUCAUUAGGUCAACGAUGCUCAAAACGUGUGAAAUUUAGUUUUCAGAUAUUUUAAAUAAUCGAAAUUAUAUUCAAUAAUGUCAAUCGUUGAUUUUGAAGCUCUGUCAUUGAAAAUAAAUUAGUAGCAGUGGAACUUAUUUGCUACUAACAGUAUUCUGGUUAAAUUUACAUGAUAAAUUACUUUGUACGCAAAAUAUAUAUAUGUUCUCAAAUUUUUGAUCAUAUAAAUUUUUUUUUAUUUAAAGCAGUUGGCUAAGAAUUUAAUUAUUGACAUCUAAAAUUUGAGAACAUAUAUAUAUUUUGCGUACAAAGUAAUUUAUCAUGUAAAUUUAACCAGAAUACUGUUANGCAAAAUAUAUAUAUGUUCUCAAAUUUUUGAUCAUAUAAAUUUUUUUUUAUUUAAAGCAGUUGGCUAAGAAUUUAAUUAUUGACAUCUAAAAUUUUAAUUCCGAAAUAUAACUAUUUCACAUUUCUAGUUGAAAUUAUGAGUGGUGUAAAGUUUUUAUUUUUUAUUUUUUUUAAUUAUUAUUUGUUUUACUCCUAUGGGUUUCACAGGGAUAAGGAUCCGCAACCCCAAUGGAAUAUUCGUAUCCAAUUAUUCCAUGUAAAAUGAAUAAACUUACACAUACUCAACAACUUGUUUUAAAAAGUUUUUAUGCAUAUCUUUAUGGACCCCUUCAACACUACAAUCUACGAAUUUUAGCAAUUUUAAAAAAAAGCUACAAAUUUGACUCACAGCUUAAAUUUUAUAUUCCACGGUUUAAGUAUUGCUAUAUAGAGUGGGACUACAAUACUCUUAUGAGUAUAGAGCCCUUCGUAUUCAUAAAUUAUUUUGUCAUUAUCUCACUAGAGCCAGCUAUAUAGGAUAAUUAUUAAAUUCAGAUAUAAAAAAAAUAAAUUUACAGAUAAAGUUAUCUAUAUGCGCAAUAUAAUCAUAUAAAUUUAAUAAAUUGCUCACUAAAUCAUCAAUUUUGAUAGUAUUCGCAAAGCAGGAGAUAUGCUUUCUCUAAAUUUUUUAAUUUAUUUCUUGAGGUGUAAAUUAGAUAUAUGUUGAGAUAUAAAAUAAUGUGAUAUGUCAAUUUAUUUUAAUAAAAUUUUUCAGCUGAUUUGUUAUUUUUUUAUUAUUUUUUGGAUUUAUUUGAGAUUAUGAUAAAAUGCAUAGGGAUAAUUGAAGUAAUGUUAAAUACAAGAAAGCAAUUGAGACUCGGUCAAAAAUGUAAGGUAGUUUUUUGUUUAUAAUUUAGCCGAUACAAAUAAAUAACUCUAUAGUAUAGAUAGUAGUGUAGUAAUCCUUUCGAUGCGACAGCUAGAUAAUUAGAGAAAAAAUAAAAAAUGGCAACAAAGAAAGAAAAAACUGCGAUAAAAAAAGUGACGAUGAGGGGCGGGAUUCAUCUUGCCGAUAAAGGAAGGUAAGAGCCGAAGAAAGUGGAAGAGGAACAGUUCGGCUCAAUGCAGAGAUAUGAUCCGGUUCAGUUCAAUCAAAAAAAGAAAAACAAAUCCGGGUUGGUUUAAGAAAAGAAAGAGAAAAAUAUGUGGAGGAUUUAAGACGGUUCGGAAGAGCCCAUACUCAAUAAUAAUUGGUUCAGUUCAAGCAAAGAAAGAUAAAAAUAUGUUAGGCAUUUAAGCCGGUUCGGAAUAAAGCCCACAUCCAACAAUAACGGUAAUGUUGCCCAAUGACAAAUUUAGGGAGAAUAAUGUAAAGAUAUAGAUAUAGAUAUAAAUUUGUAUUUCUACAAAUGGAUACACUCCAAGCCAAAAUUAAAAUAUAAAAAAUAAAAAAAAGGAAAAAAAUAAAAUAGAAAGAGGGAAUGAGAGAGGGUCCAAUACUGGGUGUGUCUAUCCAAUGGAUUCUUGUUGCCACUUGUCCAAAACAAUGUCCAGAGAUAUCACAAGUGGCUUUUUAUUUAGGGGCUCAAAAGCACUACAACAGGAGUUGCAGGUUUUUACUACUUCCACAAUCACUCAACAUAAAAGAUAAAAGAAAGAAUUAAAUUUAAACUGCACAAAAAGUGCUCAACCACAUCUGCCAUGCUGUGGUAUGAGUACGUUAAUGUGUUACAUGCAGAUUGACUUGAGAUAAACAAAUAGAUAUUUUGACGGACGUACAGGAUACAUUAAAUAAUUUGUUUGAACUGUUCAACCAUUCAUAAUUUUUUCAUUAAUUUAUUUGUAAACUUUAAAUGUUUACUAGUCACAUAAAUUUCUCUACUUUUUGCUAAAAGAUUUUUUUUAAAAAAAAGUCAAAUCUUAUGCUACAGUGGAAAGUAAAAUAAAAUACUAUAUGGGCAUGUGACUGUGCGAUCGCACAAAGUUUUCUCAAAAAGGCGCACAAUGCGAUCGCGCAGCCAAAUUCACCCUAACUCUGAAAACAAAAUCUCUAACUUUUUUAAAAUUUUAUUAUAAUAAAAAAGCUAUCAAGAGUAUACUAACACGAACAAUUUAUCUUCGAAUUUUUCUGACAAUAUUAUAAGAUAUAGCACUUGAUGAAAUAUUAUCUAUGACGGUUCGAAUAGUAAUAUAGAGCAUAUAAAAGAACUGAGCUCCGAUGCUUUUAAAAAUACUAAGUCAUUGAUACUUAUAGAUUUUCGAUUCUUGGAUGAAGGAAUUUGUGGCUAGGAUAGUGGUUCUCUAUGGUUGAGUGGAUGAUUGAUUAAAUAGUAUGAUCUAACGGAUUGAAAUAGUGAAAAGGAUAAAUUUAACAGUAAAAAAUACGAUACGCCUAGUAUUAUUAGAAGCGUCUUAGUCGCUAUAUAUAUAUAAAAGUUCCCCAAUCUUAUUAAUCAAUCAUCAGCAUGAAUCACGUGAAAGAUAACAAUUUUUAUGCGGCAGAGAGUCCACUGGAACCCUCUUACUGAGAUUUGUGGCUUUUCCAAGAAGCAAAGGUAGAAAAACAUGUAUAGGUAGUACCAAUCCCUUUCAUCUUACCUUCCAGAGAUGAUUGGUUAGAAGAAAUACAUUUAUUAUGGCUAAAUUAUAAAAAACUUUCUAUAAAUACUUUUUUUUAUUUUUUAUUUUACUUUAUCUCUUUAAUAAUUUAAAUUGUUGUAUUUAACCCCCCUCUGUCACGGUUCCAUUAUUUUUUCGUUCAUUUAUUAUAACUAGUCAUAGUGUACGUGUAAUGCACAUCACAUUAAAUCAAAUAAAAUUUAUAUUUAUAUUUUAAAUUUAAAUAGUUAUUGGUGGUAUGAGUCUAUUUAUCAAAUUUUAACUUUAAUUUAUCUUCGGAUAAGUUUUAUAUAUUUUAAAUUUAGUUACACUAUAAAUACUUUUCAUAUUUAUUUUAUAAUAAUAUACAAUUAUUUUUAACAUAUAUACAAAUUUUAAAAUUUGAAUUAAUUCUAAAUUUUAAGUUAAUAAAUUCACAUUAAAAUUUUUGAACAAAAUUUAAAAUUUAAAAUUAAUUUUGACAAUGUGCUAGCGCCGGUGAUGUCGAGGUGACAAUGUGCCGGCGCCGGUGAUGUUGAUGAGGAGAACGAUGACGAUGCGCCGGUGCCGGCAACGGGGACAAAUGAAAAAAGAUAUUACUAAAAAAUAUUUGGAAUAUUUGAGAAAAAUAUAGAUGAAAAUGAAAAAAAUAUAUUACUAACAAAAUAUAUAUUUUAUAUUUGAUAAAUGUAUAAAUGUAAAUGAGAAAAUACUAAAAAAAAAUAUGCUAAAAUAGUAUAAAAGCAUAUUAAAAAAAAUAGUUUAGAUCAAAAUACCUUUCCAAAUGUGGCAAAGGUGGCGAAUGCGACAAUAUGCCGUCGUUGGCGAUGACGAUGACGAUAUGCCGGUGCCAAUGUAUAAAUGUAAAUGAGAAAAUACUAAAAAAUAGAUAUACUAAAAUAGUAUAAAAGCAUAUUAAAAAAAAUUCAGUUUAGAUCAAAAUGCCUCUCCAAAUGUGGCAAAGGUGGCGAAGGCGACAACAUGCCGGUGUCGGCGAUGACGAUGACGAUAUGCCGGUGCUAGCGACGGGGACUAAUGAGAAAGGAUAUUAGUAAAAAAAAUAUUUGACAAUAUUUGAAAAAAAUACAGGUGAAAAUGAAAAAAGAUAUUACUAAAAAUAAUAUACUGAUGAUUUGCGCAAUUAAUGUGAGAGAUAAAAAGUCAUGAAGAUGCACACUUAUUAGCAUUUAAAAAUCUUAAAAAGUAAAACAAAGUAUACGAAAGACGAAUUGGGUAGGAAAUUAUAUUAUGACACAUUAAAAUGAAUUAGGUGUAGCAAAAUACCUUUCUAACUGUGGCGAAGGUGAUCGAGAACGACGAUGAGGAAUGAAUAAAAUAUUACUAAAAUAAUAUAUUUGAGAAAACAUAUAGUGAAAAUGAAAAAGGUUAUAUUUUAUUAUAUUUAAGAAACGUAUAGAUAGAGAUGAGAAAGUAUUAAAAUAAGAUAUAUUUUAUGUAUGGAUAAGUAUUAUGAUGAGAUAAAAAUUAUGUAUGGAUAAGUAUUAAGAUAUUUUCUAUAUAAUUAAAAUUUUAAUUAUGUUUAAUUUUAAAAUUUAAAAUUUAAUUUCGAUCCACUUUAAGUUUGUAAAUUCAAAAAUUUUAAAAUUUUUAAACUUAAUUUUGAUUCCACUUAAGAUUUAAAUUCAAAUACGUGGGUAGUGAAGAUAUUAUAUAUUUUUGAGAAAUCAAAAAUUUAAUGAAUAUUUAAAAUAAAUGGUUAAAAUUUCUGACGAUGAAAAAAUUAGUAAAAAAUAGAGACAUUUCGGAAAGAAAUUCAUGUUUUAUUCAAAAUUUCAAAAUUUUAAUUUAUCUACUUUAAGAUUUAAGUUUAAAUGCGAAGAUAAUGGAGAUAAAAAAACUUCUGAGAAACGAAAGAAAAAAGAUUAAAAUUUUGAUUAGAUAUUUGAAAAAUGCGUGGAUAUUAUGUGUGAGAAAGGUUAACGGUAUAUUAUGUAGAUAGUUUUUUUUUUUUUUUUUAUUUUAUAGAAGAUAGGUAGCACGCUAUCGCUUCGUUUAUUUCAUUUAGAAUGAAACUUAGCUAGAAAUGUGAAUCAACUAGGGUUCGAACUUGGGUCUCGGGUACCAACCGUCAAGCUCUUUGCCACUUGCUCUAGGGACGGUCGGUAUAUUAUGUAGAUAGUUGACGUAUAUGAUAGGUAGAUUAAUAAGAUAUUUGAAAAUUUUAUAAAUAUUACGUUGAGAAUGGAUUGACGGGUACGUAUAUUAUGCGUUAGAAGAAAAAUAUUUAAGAAACGCGUAGAUAGAAAAUAUGAUAUAAAUGUAAAGGUAUUAUUGUCACAAAAAGUGACAAAUACUUUUAUUUUCAAUUAUUAGAUAAGAUCUAAUGACAAAAAAUUAAUAUCUUUAUUUGAGAAUAAAUUAUUAUUUAGUAAAUUAUUUAAAAUAUUUGGUAAAAAAUUACUGAACAUAAAAAUAUUAGUAAAAAAAAUAAAAGUAUUUUUUAAAAAAAAAAAAUUUAAAACUCACGCUUUUAUAAGUAAUAUAGAUAUAGCCCACUAAAAUACGCAGGUAACUCCACUAGAUUAUCGAUACAGAAAGAAAUGGUGGGUGUUGGUUUCUCCUACACACCACACCACACCACACCAAAAUAUACCACACCCAUUGUAAAGCAGUUGGGUUUGGGACAGAGACAGGUAAGGUGAGGUAUCCUCCGCCUCUUCCCUCUCCCCACAACCCACCCAACUCCCAUUCUAUUCUAUGGAUAACGAGGAGAUAUAGAUAGUCCCCUUUUCUCCUCCCCACCAUCUCCAUUCAUUCAUGGCCCCUCCCCCAUUGCUGUGCACUUUGUAGCACCCCUGAAACCAAGCAAAAGAGGAGCUUUUUCCCACAAGCGCUUCUGGGCUCUUCUUCUCCUCCUCCUCUGCUCUAAAGGAGGGGGGAAACAUGGCCGUGGCCGUCGCCGUGGCUUCUGGGAGCCGCGGGAUUUGCUCCGGGCUGAAGCAGGUGGACAACAAUGGCGUGGCGCCCCUCAAGUGCUGCGCUUACAGGGGAUUGCGCUCCUGCGUCGUCCCGGUUUCGGCCAAGGCCAGGUUGGGGGUUUGCUCAAAAUUUGAUCUUUUUUGGUACUUUUGGUUGAGUUUGGAUUGUUGGUGAUUUGGAUUCCUAAUCUUUUGGAUACUGUAGCAAGUUUCUGUCUACUGGAUUGAUUUGAAUUGCUUAUUUAGAUAUCUGGGGUUCCGAUUUCGUCGAAGGUGAGAUUGGGGUAUUUGAUCUUUUUUGGUCUGUGGUUGAGCUUGGAUCCGACAUAUUGAUGGAAUGAUAAGUUUCUGUUGUUACUGAUUUGAUUUGAAUUGCUGUUGAGCAAUUUGGAUUCCUUCUUCUGGGAAUACACCUUUCACUGAGGCAGAAACAGUAGUAAUCUAUUUUACCCUGUUAAUCAAUAUCUUAAAUUUGAUGUUUCAAUUGUUCAUUAGGUUCUGUUUGUGACCUGAUCAUGUCUUAGGCUGAAUUAACAAAUCAUAAUUAGUAAAUAAACUAUUUCCCCCUUUCUUAUGAGAUAUUGUCCCUCAGAUCCAUUUUGCUUAACUGUUAAAAUGUAGAUUAUUUGUUUGUUCUUCUAAAAUAAUGAUUGUUAUUUAUGCAUCUAUCUGUUUGUUUAUUUGCUUACCAAUUCUGAUUGCUGACAAUCUAUGCUCAUGUUAAAUUCAUGGUUUUUUUACAGGUUAUCUUCCUUUUUCGCUAUAAGCAUUCCUCGAGCCACAUCCCCAACAGCUGUGGAGGUAUUGAACAAUGUUAGCUCUUGUGCAUUUGAUUGGAGUUAUAUUCAUAGUUGCUUAUAUUUUUUCGGUUUAACAGGAUGGGAGCUCUAAUGUCACCGACACAGUUCCGACGCCCAAAGUUAUAAUAGAUCAGGACUCGGACCCAGAUGCAACUAUCGUCGAAAUAACCUUCGGUGAUCGUCUCGGGAGUCUUCUUGACACUGUAUGCAUCAAAAACACCAACUUUUUUUUUUGGAUAAUCUGCGUUUUCCUGCUUUUAGGUGGGUCAAAUUUAGCUGAUAAAUUUGUAUCUUUUCUUAUUGUGAAGAUGAAUGCGCUUAAGAAUCUAGGGCUCAAUGUUGUGAAGGCUAAUGUCUAUCUCGAUUCUUCUGGAAAGCACAAUAAGUUUGCUAUCACAAAAGCGUAAGUAAUUAUGCUCCAAUCAACUCGUUACUUUGAGACAAAUUUCUAGAUUCUUUCGUACGCUACAAGAAAGCUUUUCUACGACACUAACUUCUAUCUGUUUAUUGUUGCUCACACUAAAGAUUAUAACAUUACAGGUAUACCGGCCGCAAAGUUGAUGAUCCUGAGUUGUUAGAAGCAAUACGAUUGACAAUAAUUAAUAAUCUGCUGCAGUAUCAUCCGGUAAUGAGACCUCCGUGUUUAACACCUUAUGUUCUGUGAAGUAAUUUGCAUAAGUCUACUUAAAAGCUCUUUUUGUUGUGUUAAUUGGAUGAUCAGGAAUCUAGCAGCCAAUUGGCUCUGGGAGCGACAUUUGGAGUUGAACCGCCUGCACAACAGGUGCUUAUUCUUGGCCUUGUCAAUAAAUUGAACAGCUAUACUUCGUUUUAUGGCUAUUAAGUGGUGUUGUUUCUCUGGGUUUAUAAGAAAAAUGCUAUUUAGUAGGAAAACGAAGAGUUUUGAUUGUUUUUUCCCCCUUUUUAAAGAAAUUCAGAUGCUAUUCUUGAUUUUACAUGUUCAGAUUGAUGUGGAUAUUGCGACCCAUAUAGAUAUAUAUGAUGAUGGCCCUGAUAGAAGGUAUGGAUAAUUCGCUCAAUGCACAAUUCCAACCUCUUAUGAACUCAUAAUCAAACUAUUAAGGCGUGCAUUGUUUAUGCCUUAUACUUCUUACUUUUUAUAAGCUCCACUUGAUUAAGUGUCACAAGAAUUCUAGAAAUACUUAUCUUGUAUAAGAUAAUAUUUGUUAACUUCUGCAAGUUGUGAUAUCAUUAGACAUUUUGUAACAUAUAUUGUACUUGAAUUGUAUUCUUUUCCGCUUCCUGUGAAGUGAAUAUCGAUACAAAUAUGGAAAUCUUUGUAACUUCUGUAGUCUCAGCUCAAAAUGAUCAUCAGCAAUUCAUGUCUAAUGAGCCUUCUGUUUGCCCAAGAUCUUUUAUACCUCAUCUGAGGUCAACUGGUGAUAAUCUACUUGAUUAAAUUAAACAUUGCAUUCAGAUGGAGUUGGAACUAUCUUAUGUGGUGUUUAGUUUUAUACUUAAUAUUUAUUAAGUUGAAUCACUAAUUGUAAAUUAACGGGUUAAAGUAGAAGGGUACUGCACAAGAUUUCUAUUGCUUGGGUUAAAAAUUUUGCAAAACACCCACUUGAUCAUUUUAUCAGCUAAUUUGUUUUGAUAUCAUUGAUGCAAGUGAUUUAAAUAAGCUUAACAUUCUGGGAUUUCAGAAGCUGAAUAUGCUUUUCAACAUACUAUUGUUAAUAAAUUUCAAAUUCGCCAACCAAGUGUAGCAUUACUGAACUAAAUAGGUAAUUGGUGAGAAGCAACCUAUAAAGUGUUUCACGUCACAUACAAAAUAGAAAUCGAUACAAGUGCUUUGAGGUCAAUGUCAAAUUCGUGUCAGGAGGUUCAAUCAUCAAAUCUUGUUCGGCUAUACUAUAUUGUCCUUAACAUUGAUGAUAAGGUCCCUUACUUGGUUGUUUUCCUCUUUAGCUUGCUCGUGGUCGAAACAGCGGACCGUCCCGGGUUGCUGGUUGAUCUUGUUAAGAUUAUUACUGACAUAAACAUCACAGUGCAAUCUGGAGAAUUUGACACCGAAGUAAACAUUAAUGUUCUUUCCAAGAUUAGUUUCUCCCUGCUAAGAGAUUUUUUACUGAAACACUUCUUUGUUACAGGGAUUAUUGGCCAAAGCGAAAUUCCAUGUCAGUUAUCGGGGUAAACCGCUGAUCAAGGCUCUCCAACUAGUAAGCUCUCUCCUGCUUUGAGGUUCUCCGUAGUUAUUAAAUGUAGUCCGACUUGGGUGCUGAAUAGAUUUAGAUCUAACAAAGUAGUAGCUUGGGGAUUGUCCAAAUCCCAAGUACAUUGCUAGUUGGUUUCAGUUGGUUGUUCUUUAACCAUCUCAAGAUUUUAGAAUCUGUUUUGGCCUGGCUUCAGCUUGUGGCUUCUGCAAAAGUGCUGUUUGAAUAAAACUGCUAAAAAAAGCACUAUAUUAGUACACGAGAUAAAGAUCUAAUCGAACUAGUUUCUAUUGCUUACCAUAAUGGUUGCUAGUUCACCACUCUUGCUGAUACAUUACACCAGGGUCCUCAAUCUCUGCAUUUCAUUACAAUCUUUACUCUGUCUGUCAAAUUCCUUCAUCAAAUUAGAUGGGGAUGUCUACGUAGGCGUCAUGUAUCUACGUUAGGGUUGAUACCGCAUGCAUGGUGCUCGCAUGGACAUUUACCAUCAAAAUGUAAUCCGAGAAUUUUAACAGGUCUAAGAAUGUGAUGUGACAUAAAAGGUUAGGAACCAUGAUAACUAUUUGCAUGUUGAUAAUCAAAACUGACACUACGCCAAAUUUGUUGGAAAUAAAUAAAAAAACACGCUGAAAUUUUACCUUACCAACUUGAUCAAGUCGUUCUAAUAUAUAGCUCGUGUGUUUGUAGGUUCUUAUAAAUAGCUUGCGCUACUUCUUGAGGAGGCCAACGACGGAGGAAGCGAGUUUUUAGGGCUCUACUUAAAAGGACAGUUCAAGGUCGCAUAGUGUUCCAACGCAAUUUAAGAUUUUUCUUUCCACAUUACAGCAUCUGGCUGUGUUCCGAAUAAUGUUCUUACUCAUCUACUUUAGUACUCCGUUGCCCGAAAGCUAACUAGUCUGUAUCGAUGGGAUCACACCGUUGAGCCGAAUGAAAUCUUUGCAUGCUUGAAGAAGCACUCUUCUGCUUCUUGUGUUGUAUGCCUUUCUUAUAGUCUGUCGACUGCGAAGUGUUCGAACAAGAUAUUGAGAAUAAUCACUUUAUGCAAAAUUGUUGAAAGAUGGAACUUCUGGUGCUUCUGCAAUUGGGACAAAGUUGCAGAAAUGAGCUUACCAGUGUGUUUCUACUGCAGCAGAAGGCCGUCAGAACAUCAUUAAAGAAAACUUUAUCGAGUAUUUCUUAAAAUAGCUUUAUUCAAACAACAUUUGAUUUUCUGAGCCGAGCGUAGAGAUGCAAAAAAGUCGUGUUUUUUUGGAUCUUAUCGCUUUCUUCUGCUGCAGUUGGGCUGAAGCAGCUUAGAUCAGCAGAUCUGCAGUCUGCCUGCAAGGAUACGAAAUGUUAAUGGAGAGCAGAACAUUCUUGCAUUCCAUUGUGUAAUAUUUGAAUUACAACGUUGUUACUAGGGAUGUCAAUGGGUCGGAUUCGGGACGGAUUUUUAAAAACCCGAUCCCAAACCCGACUCCAAAUCCGAAACCCAAACCCGAACCCGACGGAUUUUGAAAAUCCAUAUCCAAACCCGAACCUGACCAAAUAUUCAAAAUCCCAAUCCGAAAAUCCGAACCCGAAAGAAUUAUUUCUCUUUUCAAUAUUUCAAAAUAUAUUACAUUAAAUCUAAAUUUUUAAAAUAGAAAUUCAAAUAUAAUAUCAAAUUUUUAUAUACAAAUUAUAUAUAAUGUAAAAUAAAUUUGGGUUCGUACCGGGUUCAGAUCGGGUACAGUCAAAAUUUAUAUCUGAAUCCAUAUCUAUCAACUUUUUGUUUUUGAUAUCUAUAUCCGAAAUCAUUUUCGUUUAGCAUCAGAUAAAUUUGCUCAGUUCGGAUUCGGAUUCGGAUAAAAUUUCGGGUAUCCGUAGGACCGUAUCCGUACCCAUCGACAUCCCUAGUUGUUACUUGAUCAACUGAGGCCCAGUUUGGAAUGAAGAGCUAUGCAACAUUGUUGGUCCAAAAGAAGCAAGGAAAACACUCUGAUAUGAUCGGCCAUAUUUUUUUUUUAUUAUUUUUGAAUACAAAUUCAUAUACAAAUUUAUAUCGAAUAUUAAAUUUUAAUAUCUAUAUUCAAACUCUAUCGAAUACAAAUUUGAUUGGAGUAUACUGCUUGUUUGGUUCGACGUAAAGUAAUUUUUCCGUAAAAAUAUAAUUUUACGGAUUUUGAAAAAACUGGAAGUUUUCAUUUUCUGUUGUUUUUCAGUGAAAAACAAAAACUCUCUGAAAGAAAGUCACUUACACUCUCUCUCUCUUAAUAUUAAUAAAUAUAUAUUAUGUAAUAUUUUAUUUAUAAAUAUAAAUUAUAUAUUAUACAUUAUAUAUGUGUUAUUAUAUAUUAUAUAAUAUAAUUUUGGAUAUAUAGUAAAAUUUUGAAUAUAUUUAAAUUAUAAAUAUAGGUGAUAAUGAUGAUAAUAAUAAUAUAUAGAGAUAUAAAUUGUAAUUAUAAUAUAUAUAACAUGAAAGUUAUUCAUAUAUAAUAUACAAUAAUAUAUAAUAAAAGAAAAUUUUAUAAAAUUACUUUUAUUCUAAUUUUUUCUUUCAAUCAAACAAGUAUGGUUGAAAUUUUAUUUUUCUUUUUUCUACAAAUCAAGCAUUAAAGAACGUAAAAAAAAUUUUAUAAAAUUUUUUUUAUUGAAAAUUAUUUUUUAUAAUUUUAUGAUGAACUAAAUAGACCCUUAGUUGAGCCACUCUGUGCUCAUCAAUUUGGAUUUUUUUUUUCAAAUAAUCCUAUGAAAUUUUUUAAUUGGAUAAAUAAUUCUAUAAAAAAAUAAUUGGAAAACUAAUCCUUCUUUUGUUAUGUACGAGUCACGAAAGAAUUUUCUCUUAAAAGACAGUAAAUUAUUCACCACCUUCUUAAUUUUCUACAAAAUGGGUGAAUCAUUCACCAUUUUCUUGAAAAUUAUUUGUUAUGAUUUUUUAAGUUGUUAAGAUUAUAUGUAAUUUGUUAAAAUUUGUAUAUGGUUGUCAGAAUUAUAUAUAAAAAAUUAAAAAAAUGAGAUGGUUAGGAUUAUAUGUAGAUUAUUCGAAUUUUUGUUAGAUUAUUAGGAUUGUAUGAAUAGAUUAUUAUGAUAUUUUUUAUUAUUAAGAUUAUAUAUGGUUUGUUAAAAUUUUUAUAUAAUUUUUAGAAUUAUAUGAAAAAUAAAAAAAAAACAACAAAAGAGAAAGACAGUGAGUAAUUCGAGUAAUUCAUUACUUUUAUGAGAAGUUAAAUAGGAAUUGUUUACUGGUUAUGAAAACGGUAAAUAAUUCACCGUUUUUUGGAUAAAAUUUUAUUCUAUCACUAUUUAGUUAAAUAUAUUUUUUUAGUAGGGUCGUUUGGCUAAUUAUAAUAAUUUUAAGUGUUAUUUAGGAAAAAAAAAUCCCAUCAAAUCUGUAGUGCCACGUGGCCCUAUUAAAUUGUGCCAUUUGUGGGCCUGUACAAGCUGCUCCAUCAAGGGGGUAGGUAACCUUUGGGACCACCAAUUAUCACAUGCUUCGCCAGUUGCCACGUGGGCCCCAUCUGAUCCGUCCGUAACCCCCCAAGGGCUUCGCUUGCCGUUGGAUUGAGUCCUGGUGGAGUGUGGGACCACAAGCUUUCACUCUCAGCGAACCACGCGUUGCCACGUUGACACGUUGACAAAGUCCAACUGUACUCUCUCCCACUCGCUUUUGUCGUUUUCUCAACAUUCUUGUCGCGUUUGGUGUGUACUCGUCGGUACGUUCCACUGGUACAUCACAAGAUCAUCAAAAUUAUAAAAAACAAAAAAUUUAAAUCACAUUUUGGCCCCACAAUUUUUUGUUAUUUAUUUAUUUAUUUUGAACUGUUGAUAAAUUUAUAUACUCGUUUUUUUUUUUUUUUUGAGAAAGUUAGUAUAUUAUUUGUUUCGUUUAUUUUUUAAAAAAAUAAAUUUAGCUGAAAAUGUGAAUCAGUCAGGAUUUGAACUUAAAAUUUCGAAUACCAACCAUCAAGUCUUUUGAUAAAUUUAUAUACUUUUUAUUGCAUGUAGAAUGAACAAAUAAGAGUCUUUCAGAUUACAUACUUGAACAUAGAAAUAAAGCAUUGUUUUACUAUAAAAAAUAACACUUAACUGUUGUGCAAAUUUUAUGUUUAUUUUAUCAAAAAAAAAUCUGCCGUUAAAUAAAUAGCAAAUUAAAAUUCUAUGAAAUCACAGAAUAAUACGCUGUUUAGUAAUAUGCUAUUAUAAUAAAAUCACAUGAUAGUUAAGCGUAACUUUUUAACCGCACAGUGAAAAAUAUAAGCAUGCAUGCUACAUGACAUAAUAGAUAGUUGAGUCCAACUUUUUUAAUCAUGUGAUGGUAAAGUAAAACAAUCCUAAUUCACAAGAGGAUAAGCUGAAGUUUACCUUAUUGUAACAUAUUAAUAAUUUACAAAGAUAAUAUUCCAUGGGAGGAAAAAAAAAACUUUUUAUCAUUCUUUUUAUUGUAGAGAAUUGUAUUUUGUCCACAAUAUAUCUCAAAUAAAAUCUUAAAAUGUAUGUAUAUACGAAUUAAAAUAUGUAUAUUAUGUUAUACAUGUGAUCGAGCUGUCCAUCUUGUUUUGAGUAUAAAAGAAUCAACUUCUUAUUUGUGGGGAAUAUACUGUUGCUAAACUGCAAAUUGGAUCAGUGCUAUUAUUUUAUUAUUAUUAUUAUUAUAUUUUUUGGAUAAUUUGAAUGUAGUUGAUGUCGCGUUAUGCAUGCUUUUAACAUCCUUCUUGAGUUAACAACUUAAGGUUUUAAAAGAAUAACGAUUAUUUAAUAUUUUUAACACAGUAUAUAAGUAGGAAGUUUUUAAUUUGAGUUUCGUCAGUCUCCUAUUAUUGCUUAGUUUUUUCUUAUUUAAUUUAAAUUUAUAUUUUAGAAUUAUUAUUCUUAAUUUUAAAUAUAAAAAAAUAAAUAUGAAUAUUAAAAAUAUCGUAUUCUUUGACACCCUGUGGCUUGUACUUUUCCCAGUUAGAACAGUAGUUAAUUAGUUUUUUAUUAUGUGGGAAAGUGGAGGGUUUGUUUGGUUUAUUCCAAGUUUUCAAUAAUUGGCCCGAAAUUAAUACGCGCACACAAGCACUGUUUAGCAACAGUUAUUUCGAACACGCAUUUAUUGUUUUUUUUUUUUCUAAUGGAUAAAUUUUAUUUUUUUAAUAAUUUAUCUUAUUUUUUAUUUUACUAUUUUGCAUGGUAAAAAAAAUUAUAUUUAAUUAUCAUAAAAUUUAGGUCCUAGAAAUUAUACUCAAUUACUUUGUAAUUAUUGUUACAACAAACGCACAAACGGAAAUAAAAUGACGUAUACGAAACAAUCAAACCACAAACAGAAAAUAAAGAGAACGCACAGAUUUAAGUGAAAAAUCAUAUGCAGAGAAAAACCACGGGCGAGGCAGAAGAGAGCUUCACAAUCAAACGAAAAAGGGAAUACAAUGUUCAGAAGAUUACAACCAAUCACAAUCUCACGCCUCUAGGGCAAAAACGAAAAGGAAACCCAUAACAGCUUUCGGAUCUGAUCCGAUCCGAUCCGAUCUGAUCCUGUUGGCCCGAGCCCUCCGCUACCCACCACAGACAUUUAUUUUUUCUUCACAAAUUUAUUUUUCCAAUUUUGGUCGCACCGCGAAACUGUUGACGACUCAGAAACCUGAAUUUGAGUCGAUUAUCAAUUUCGAGUCAUAUCUAAUAGUUAUAAAAUUAUUGUGUCAUUCUAUUUGAUAAUAAAUAUUUUGUAUAAUAAUAGAUAAUAUAUUAUAUAAUAGUUAAGUAUAACUUUUUAAAUCACAUAAUCACAAAAUAAAAAUAUAAAUUAAAAGUUAUCUUUUUUAAUUACAGUAUUUUUGAAUUUUGAUAGUAAAUAUUUGGUUUUGGAAAGUGCUCCCUAAGUAAUUAGCAGUUCAAAGUUUAUGUAUCCUCUUCAGUAAAAUAUUAGAUGGCGUUGAAUAAAGAAAAUGUGUAAAUUGUUGCAUGCUUUUUCGUUGACAAGUGUGAUUAUAAGUAUUUUUAAAAUUUUUGGAUCGUUCAAAAUAUAAGAACACGUACAUUUAGCUAUCGCAAUACCAAAUUAGGUUUUAGAAUAACUUUCUAAAAUUGACUCUUCUGAGAAUCUUUUUGGCCCAGAUUUUAGUUUAGUUCAUUCAUAUGUUCGCAAAAUAAUAUUUGAUAAAUAAAAAUAUUUGAAAUAUCUUAGCAGUGGAAAACGAAAAAUAAAAUUCUAUGUAUCAAAAGUAAAAAGAAAAAUUGUUGGCAUUUCUAAUUUACUUAAAAUAUUGUUGGAUGGACGCGAAUAUAAAUAUAUAAUACAUUUUCUAAUAGUAUAACCAUUUAAUAGUAUUUUAUUAAAUAUUAAAUAAUAUAUAAUAUUGUAGUUAUAUGCUUGCCGACGCAUAACAACGGGAGGCCAUUUAAUUUAAAUGUGUGAACAAUAUCAAACUUAGCCCUUUGAAACUUCAAAAUAUUAUAUUUGUCCCUUUCAAAAUCUAAAAUAUCAUUCGUGGCCCUCUACUAUUUGUAUAAAUCUAUCACAAACGUCUCUGUGAACUCCAAACCUAAAGCCUAAAUGCUAAAGCUAAACCCUUUAAUGUUUAUAAGGUAAAAAUUUACAUAAUUUAUCUAAAAUAUGAAUUAUUUUGAAUUAGCCACCCAAUCUUUCAAAAUUUUGUUAUUUUACUAUCAGAUAUUUCAAUUUGUUUGAUUUGAAUCAGCCAACGGCACUUACUCUUUAAAAUUGAAUAUAUCAUUUAACUUUACAGGUAUAAUAGUAUGCUUCAUAUAAUUUUCAUAACUAUAAAUUUAUUAAAAUAAAUAAUUAGCUUAAAUUUUAAAAGCAAAGCAUCGUUGACUGAGUCAAACUAAAUAAAUUGAAAGGUUGGAUAGUAAAAAUAAAAUUUAAAAGAGUCGGAUACCCGAAUAAAAAUGGCACAUAGUUUAGAUAAGUUCAGAAUGUUUUUGCCUAUUCGAAGAACACUAAUGACAUUUUACAAUUUGAAGGAAUUUUAACAAAAUUAGAAUCCGUCGAAGGAGUACUGAAGAAAUCAAGCGUUGAAAUGUCUGUAGCGAUGCUGAUCGUCCAUAACACAGAUAUGACAAAGAGCCGACUGGUUGGGUACUCAAGAGCCAAAGUUCGAAAUCUAAUUGCUCCACAUUUCUACUGAAUUUAUUUUUUAAAUAAUUUUUCAGUGGCGGAUACACUAUAAAUAGAAUGAACUUAAAAUAGGAAACAAGAUUAUGGAGCAGGACCAUCAUCAUUAUUGUCUCAUGGGCCACACUACACAACAACUACAAUAUUGUCUCGUGGGCCUACACUUCCAUGUGGGCCCAAUGAGAAACCCUAAUUUUUUUUAAAAAAAAUAAAAUAUUAGUAGAAGAAUCCGACUAUAGUACUUUCGGGAGCACCACACAUGUGGUGCAGUUUAAUAUUAUUGUCUUGGAAGAACCACUAUCGUGCUGCUUUUACAAUUCUUAAUAUUAGAGUUAAAAAGUCGAAAAUACCAAAUUUUUUUAUAUUUUUGGAAGCAUAAUAGCUCUAUACAUGAAUAGAAUCAAAAUUUUCAAAAAACAAUUUUGUGUUUCUGUAAUAUUAAUAACUACUUUUUUAUGUUUUUUUACAUUUUAUAUAUAAAUAUUUAUCUUAUUGUGAAUUUUUUUUGGAUCUGCGGUUGGUUAUCUUACUAUAUGUAUGAUGCCAUUACUCUCUCGCUCUCUUUCUCUUUCUCUCUGGGAGAAAGAAAAAAAAAGGGUUAAAUAAAUAGCAAAGUAAAAUUUUGUGAAAUCACGGGAUAGUACUUUUUCUAACAAUAUAUCUUUACACCUAAGGAUUUAAGUGCUGUAGUACAGGAUUGUGAUGAAUCUUGCCGACACGGUAUGACACGGUGCGUGCCGAACCGUGUCGAUACUUGCUGGUCAAAAAAAUUUAUGUGUGCCGACACAUAAUAGCAUGAAAUAUUUAUUUUCUUUAGCAACAAAAUAUUCUAACUAUUUAUUAUAUUUUCUUAUCACAUAUUUUAAACUUUAUUGAAAAAAUUACUUACUAAUUUAAAGAAUAGAGGGUUAAGAGUUGUGCCAUUGAUACGGAGUUUGUAUCGUGCCGAUGUCUUAUUGGUAUGGUACGGCACGGUGGAUACGGCCCGUGCCGAUGGACACUUAAAACCUUAUUUACACUAAAAUAAAAAUAAAAUAAACUGAUAGUUAAGCGUAACUUUUUAAUACGAAAAAUCUCUACGGAGCAUCCGGGCCAAGCUACACUACUUAUGAGUGGGGGAUGGAUAUAAUUUUUUUUUUUUUCAUACUGUAGCUAAUGGCAAAAGGAGAGCUAACAUGAUUGGUAUGAUUGAUGAGGAUAGUGAAGUGUACUGAUCCGAAGAGGAUAUAAAGAGCUAUUUCUAUCAUAAAUUUAAGGAGCGCUUCAUAUAUGAAGAGAUGGCCCCGACUUCCUUUGGCGAGUGGAGCGGCUUCUUCAAAUCGUUAACGACCCCUAACCUUGCUCGACUAAUUGGACCUUUCAGUCUAGAUGAAAUAAAAACAAGCAGUUCUUCAACUCGAGAGAGAUAAGGCAUCGGGCCUCGAUAGUUUUCCGUGAGUUUCUACCAAACUUUCUGGAAUACCCUAAAGGAGAAUAUUUUGAACCUAUUCCAGAAAAUGUUUAAGGGGAGGAUGACCACCAGCCCCAUUGAUUACGCCUUCAUCUGUUUAGUCCCUAAGAAGGAAGGGGCUAAGAGCGCGAACGACUUUCGACCUAUAAACCUAUUGAAUGGGAUUCAAAAAAUUUUAUCAAAGGUUCUGGCCAACAAUCUAUAGCUGCUUAUAAACGAUCUAAUAUCUCCCUCCUAGUCGGCAUUUCUGAAUGAGAGAAAUAUCACUGAUACUUUUGCAGCACUUUGUGAACUAAUGGGUUGGGAAAGUGAGAAGGUUGUAGAAUGAGUCGGGGCAAAGGUGGACUUCGAAAAGAUGUAUGAUAAAAUCUAUUGGCAAUUCCUUUUUAGUAUUUUAGAAUGGUGGGAUUUCGACGAAAAGUGAUGUGGAUGAAUCAAACUCUGUGUGUGUUAUGCCAAGAUUGCAGUUUUGGUUAAUGGCGAGACUAUCAAAUGGAUAAAAAUGAAGAGGGGCGUGAGAUAGGGGGACUUACUCUCUCAUUUCCUCUUUCCUUUGGUGGCAGAGUGUCUUGCCCGGAUGACAAAUGAAGCAAUUACAAGUAAUCUUAUUAAAGGACUUGGACCCUUCGAUGUGACUAGGAUUACUCUUAUUUAAUUUGCGGAUGAUAUAUUUUUUUCUAUGAGGGUAAGAAAAGGUAUUUGAGAAAUCUCAAGUUCUUGUGAUACCUCUUUGAAUGGGCAUCCGGAUUGAAGGUCAACAGGAAGAAGUCAGAACUGUUCUACAAUGGACAGGCUGAAGGAAAAGCGAUAAAACUUGCGAAUAUACUUGAGUGUUGAAUAGGCAUCCUCCCUACCAAGUACCUAGGAUUGUCUCUUUCUACCGAGCCCCCUAGCUUUGAAGGAGGAUUAGAAUAGGAUCAUCUUGAAAAUAUAAAGAAAAAUUGACUGUUAGCAAACGAAACUCCUAUCAAGAGGGGGUAGAUUAAUUUUGACAAAUGCGGUUCUAACCAACCUACCUAUAUACUUCUUGUUUAUAUUCAAGGCAUCUAAAUGGAUGAUCGCGCAUACUGAGUCUUUGUAUAGAGACUUCUUCUGGAACGGAGGAAGCAACUCACCAGAUAAGGGUUGUCUGAUAGCUUGGAAGAAUGUAUGUAAGGAUAAGAAAGAAGGAGGACUUGGCAUCUUAGACUUAGCUACGAUGAAUAAGCUCUCCUGACCAAAUGGUGGUGGAAAUUCCACUGGCGCCCCAAUUACAAUGGAGCAAGAUUAUUCAUACUUUAUACUAUCAUAGAAGAAGAUCUUUAAAGAAGAAAUUUUUUUUUUAAACCUUACUCAUAUUGGUGAAAGGGAGUACUUAAUCAGAAUAAAAUCUCCAAAUAUGGUGUAUUAUACAAGUUGGGGAACACGAGUAAUAUCCAUUUUUGGUAGGACCGCUGGCGUGGAAAAACCACAUUGCAAUUGUCAAUAGCCUAGUCGCAUUCCAAGAGACCCAUUGAGCUGUCCAUCUUGCUUUUGAGUAUCCAAAAAGAAUCAAACUCUUAUUUUGUGGGGAAUACACUGGUGCUAAACUGCAACUUGGAGUAGUACUUUAAUUCUAUUAUUAUUAUAUUUUUAAGUUAACUUGAGUGCAGUUAAUGUAUUUUUAUGCUUUUUACUAUUAGUAACGGAGUCGGCACAUUAAUUUCCAUAUACAAAAAAAAUUUUAUGCGUGAGGUUGUAACGGUGAUCUCGUUACUAACUAGCAAAGAUGCUAACGCAUGCUGUAAACAUUAAUCUCAUUUUUCGCACUCUCUUUGUGUUGAUCAAAUUUAAGUUUUUGAAAAAAAAUGAUUAUUUAAUAUUUGUAACAUGAUAUCAAAGUUAGAUGUUUUUAGUCCGGAUUUUCUAAGAUUUUUAUUGUUACUUAAUUUUUUCUUCUUCAAUUUAAAUUCGUGUGUUUAAAAUUAUCAAAAACAUCUCGAUCUUAAAUAAUAAAAAAAUAUUAAAUAUAAAUAUUAAAAAUAUCUUCAUCUUGUAUGCUAGUUUAACUAUCGUCGUGCUCUGUAGCACCUUGUGGCUGGUACUGUCCCCAGUUAGAAAAGUUGCUAAUCAGUUUUAUUUUAUUCCGUGGGAAAGUGAAGGGUUUGUUUGGUUUAUUCCAAGUUUUCAAUAAUUGGCCAGAAAUUAAUGCUUGCACGCAAGCACUGUUUCAAACUCGCAUUUAUUUUUUUUUUUUUGUCGUGGAUAAAUUUUAAGCUAAAUUACAGAAGAUUCUCCGUCAAUAAUUUUUUUUUUUUUUGUUCUUUUCGGUCAUUCAAAAAUCUAUAUUUGUCCCUUUAAAAAAUAAAAAUAUUCGAUUUGACUCCCGCCGUCAAUGUUUUAUUAAGAUUCUGUUUAUAUUUUAUUUUUUAUAUUCAAAAUAUCCCUCAAACCCCCCUCCUUCCGCAUCCUCAGCCGUGCCGCCUCGCCCUCGUCCAUAUAUCUCUCCAUGCCGACACACACACCCUUGUCCGCCUCCACCGCCUCACCCUCGUCCACCUCGAGGAAGUUGAGAAAUAAUUUGGUCAUUUUGUCACAGCGUAUUUCUCUAUGAAUAUUUUUUAUUUUUUAAGAGGGUAAAGUGUAGAUUUUUGAAUGACAGAAAAAAAGUAAAAAAAAACUGAUAUUGAUAGGAAAGUUUUCUGUAAUUUAGCCUAAAUUCUAAUCUUUUUUAAUAAUUCAUCUUAUUUUUAUUUUGUUAUUCUGUUUGUGGGUAAAAAAAAUUAUAUUUAAUUAUUAUAAAAUUUAGGCCUAAAAAAUUUUACUUAACUGCUAUGUGGUUAUAAAGUUACUGUGCCAUUCUAUUUGAUAGUAGAUAUUUUGAAUAACAAUAAUGAUAAUAUCAUAAAAUAGUUAAGUGUAAUUUUUUAAAUCACAAAAUCGCAAAAUAAAAAUAUAAAUUGAAGUUUUUUUUUUUUUAAUUACAGUAUUUUUAAGUAGCUUCUAAUUGUAGGAAAAAUAAGAGCUUUAAAUUGAAACAUUUGGUGUUGACACGUGCUCCCUAAAUUAUAUAAGCAGUUCAAAGUUUCUGUAUCCACUACAGUGAAAUAUUAAAGAAAAUGUGUAAAUUGUUAUAUGCUUUUUCUCGGACAAUUGUGAUUAUAAAUAUUUUUAAGGUUUUGGAUGGGUCAAAAUAUAAAAAUAAAUACAUUUAGCCGCCGCAAUACCAAAUUAGGUUUUAGAAUAGCUUUUCAAAAACAACUCCUCUGAAAACAAAAAAAAAAACUUCUAUAUAUCAAAAGUAAAAGAAUCAUUAGAAUUUCUAAUUCUAUUACUCAAAACAUUGUUGGAUAAACGCGAACAUAGUAUAAUUUUUAAGAGUAUAAUCAUUUAAUAGUAUUUUCUUAAAAGAAAACUUAAAAUACCGCUUAUUUGGUUUCACAUUUUUUCACUUUAGUAUCCUGUGAUUUAAAGUGUAUCAAUUUAAUACCUUAUGAUUUUAUUUUUAUUUUUUUAUUAUCAAUUCUACUAAUUUUUUUUUGUUAAAUCAGUGACAAAGUUAAAACUAAAGGGUACUAAAGUGAAUAUUCGAUAAAUCUAGAUAGAGUAUCUAAAAUUUUGUAUAUAAUUUAACAAAAUAUUAAUGGAGAAGCUGACGAAAAGCUAAAAAUAAAACCAAAGUACACUAACUUAAUACACUUUAAAAUAUAGGGUAUUGAAAUGAGAAUGCAUGAAACCACAAGGGUGAUAUUUAAAAUUUACCCUUUAUUAAAUAAUACUAUACACCUUAGGAUGGCCUAGUUGUCUUGGUAGUUAUAUGCUUGCCAACGCAUAACAACUGCAGGCCAUUUGAACGUGGUAUCAAUUUCAAACAUAGUCCUCAAAAACUUCAAAAUGUUAUAUAUGCCCCUUUGAAAAUAUAAAAUUUUAUUCAUGGCCCUCUAAUAUUUGUAUAAAUCUAUCACAAAUGUCUCUCAGAAUCAUAAUUAGUUAAUUCGCGAAUUAUUCGCGAAUUAUUGAAAAUUCGAAUAAAACAAUCUGUAUACGAUUUAUUUUCAAAAAAAUAGAAUAAUACGCAAAUUUUUUGAUUAGAUUUAUUAUUCGCGAAUAAUUUGUGUACUACGAAAUAUUCGGCCAAAAAAACUCGCAAAUUUUUUGGAUAAAAUUUCUUUCCGAAUUAUUGUCGAAGUAUUGCCAAAUUAUUCACGAAUUAUUGAAAAACCUCAUGAACUUCCGAAAUAUAUGGACCAUGAAAAAGAUGAAGAUGGAGACAAUAAACUUUGCUGUUGCUUUUUUUACUUAAUCUAUUUUAUUUUGUAGCUCUCUUCUUUUUAUAUUUUUAAGAAUUAUAACUAUACAUACUAGUAGCAUAAAUCUAGAGAAAAAAAGUUUAGUUUAAUAGCAGAAUUUUUGAUCCCGAAUUGUUAAUCGGUGAAUGUAUAAUAUCCGUAUAAAUCGAGUAUCCGAAUGAUUGGUGAAUCCAUUUUUUAAGCCGUAUUUUUCAACGAAUUUAAAAAUUGAGAUAUGAAUUUUAUUCGAAUUAUAUCCGUUUCGAAUUUUUGCUGAAUCCGAAUUAACUAAUUAUUCUCUGAACUCCAAACCCAAAGCCUAAACCCUAAACCCUAAACCCUAAACCCUUUAUUAAUAUUUAUAAGGUAAAAAUUUACAUAACUUAUCUGAACUAGAAUUAUUUUGAAUUAGCUACCCAAUCUUUCGAAAUUUUGUUAUUUUACUAUCCAAUAUUUCAAUUUGUUUAAUUUGAAUACUCAACAACACUUUGUUUUUAAAAUUUGAAUGUGUCGUUUAUUUUUAUAUAUUUAAUUAGUAUGCUUUACACAAUUCUCAUAAUUAUAAAUUAUUAAAAUAGGUACUUAACUUAAAUUUUAAAAUUAAAGUACCAUUGAUUGGCUCAAAUUAAACAAGUGAAAGAUUGGAUAGUAAAAUUAAAAUUUUUAAAAAAUUAGACAAUCAAAUCAAAAUGAUCCACAAUUCAUGUAAGUUAUGUACGUUUACAAGCGUUCAAAGUUCAAAUAUCUGCAGUGGGACCGACCAUCAAGUGAUAAAGAGCUAACUAGUUGGUAGCCAAGGGUAGGGAUGUCAACGGUUUGGAUUCGGGGCGGAUUUCCAAAAAUUCGAACCCGAACCCGACUCCAAACUUGAAAAUCGAACCCGAACCCAAGCCCGAACUAGACAGAUUUUAAAAAUCCAUAUUCAAACCAGAACCCGACAAAAAAUCCGAAGCCCGAACCCGAACCCGAAUCCGAACCCGAAAAUUUGACCCAAAACAAUUAUUUCUCUUUUAAAUAUUUCAAAAUAUAUUAUAUUAAAUCUAAAUUUUUAUAAUACAAAUUUAAAUAUAACAUCAAAUUUUUAUAUACAUAUUAUAUAUAAUGUAAAAUAAAUUCGGAUUCAGGUCAGGUUCGGAUUCAAGUCGGGUACAGUCAAAAUCCAUAUCUGUAUCUACAUCUGUCGGGUUUUUAUUUUUGAUAUACAUAUCCGAAAUUAUAUCCAUUUAGCAUCGGAUAAUUCCGCUCCGUUCGAAUUCGGAUUCAGUUACAUAUAAAAAUAUUUAAACACCGUUUUUUAACACCUUAACUUUUAGAGUACAACGAUUAUUUUACAUGGUAUCAGAGCUGGAGGUCCUGAGUUCGAGUCACGCCAGGCUCCUAGUAUGUUAAUUUCCUCCCAUUUAAUUCAAGUCCACGUAAUGGGACGUAAGGGGGGGUGUUAAAUAUAAAAAUGUUUAAAUACCGUUUUCUAACAGUUUAAGUUUUUAGAGUACAACGGUUAUUUGGGCCAAAUUUGGAAGUGAAGUUGCUCUACAUUUUUAGCAAAAUAUAUGUUUUAAAUAAAUUUUCAGUGGGGGAGACACUAUGAUCAAGUACAAUGAUCUAAAAAUAGGAACAAGGAUGAUAGAGCAGGACCAUCCUCUUUAUUGUCUCAGCGGCGGAUCACUACGACAACAGUACAAGUAGGAUAGAGCAGGGCCCUCCUCUUUAUUGUCUCGUGGGCCCAACGCUCCCAUGUGGGCCCAAUGAUAACGCGCCUAAUUUUUUUUUUAAAAACAAAUAUUAUUAAUUAAUAGAAGAUUCCGAUUAUGAUGUUUCCAAAAGCACCUUUCACCUUGUGCGUAUUAAUAAUAAUAAUAUUAUUAUUAUUAUUAUCUCAGAAGAACCCCUAAAUUCUACGGAGUUCAUUAUCAUUCCAAUCCUAAAAAGUCAAAAAUACCUAACUCUUUGAUAGUUUCGAGUGUACAGUAACUCUAUGUAUUAAUAGAGUAAUUUUCAAAGAACAUUAAAAUAAUAUUUUUACCGUCACAAAUAUGCUCAUUCAAAUUUUUUUUCUAAUUGUUGGAAUUAUAUAGAUAUUUCAUUUCAGAAAUUUCCAACAGUCAUUUUCUUUUUUUUUAUCAUCACAAAUAAUAUAAGAGAGAUAAAAAAAUCAAUUUAUUUCAUUCAAUAAUUAGGAUUAAGUAUUUUACCUAAUAAUUAACUAUAUUCUUUAGGGUAUAUUUGAAAAUAUUAGAUUUUUUUAAAAAAUAAAUAUAAAAAAAUAAAUUUUGUAAACAUAUAUCUGGUAUUCGAUAUAUUUGUAAGGACCAUUAUGCAAUUAACCUAAAAAAAAUAUGGUGUGUCGUGAUAAACCGUAAAAGAGUAUCCGCGAGUAACCCCACCGCAUUCUCCUCGACGCUUCGUUCUCCCCAUGGUGCGCGACUUUUAACGUACUCCCACUCCCCGGUCUCAGUUUCCACUCUGCGAGUUCUCUCUCUCUCUCUCUCUCUCUCUCUCUCUCUCUCACUCUCCAUCGAUCUCGGAUCUCCUCACCGACCUUCUCUCGAUUCGCCAUGGAUUCGCUUCUUCUCCGGCCAUCUCCCCUCCCUCCGCGGCCCUUCGCCGCCGCCGCCGCCGCCUCUCGGCGAGGUACGCGCUCCCCACUCGAUUCGAGCUCUUGAUGGGUUGCAUGAGGGAAGAUGCCUCUGAAUCGAGCUGAUUGAUCUACUAUCUAGGGUUUAGAGCGUCAAAGUAGUUGAAUCGCGAUUAAUUUUAUGGCAUUGAUCUUAGGAUUGCUAGUUUUCUCCUUGUCUAGGGCGAGAGUGUGAGUAUGUGGUGAAUGAAUAGCCUUGGAUUGAGUUCUGGAGUUCCGGAUCGUAAGUAUAAGAAGCUAUGUAUCAAGAUACUUCUAUAAGCCUCGCGUGUCCAGUGUGGACACUUUUUGGAUACGUGUUCAAUGCUGAUCCAUAGCUCAGACAAUUAAGAAAACAUAUACAUAUUUUUAUUUUAUUUUAUAUAUGCAUAUAUAAUGAUGAUAAAUAUGAUGGAUGCAUACAAUUUAUUUUUGACAAUGUAAAUAAAUUAUGUAUGGUGGAGAAUUUUUUUUAAAAAAAUAUAUGAACUAUAAUGAAAAUUUUACUAACAUUCAUUCGUAUAAGAUAACAAUAUUUUUUCAAAAUUGAUAAUUUAUAUAUAAUAUAUAUAUAUAUAUUAAUAAUAUUAUAUUUUAUUAGCGGUAUUCAUGCCGUGUUCGUGUCCUAAUUUUUUAAAAACUAUCGAGUCACCGUGUCCGAGUCGUGUCGCAUCCCGUAUCCCGUGUCAGUGUCUUUGUCAUCUAGAUAAGAAACGAUUGGUAGAUAAGUUUCAUAUUAUCCUGCUUCUUCCUUUUCUUUUAUUAGAUAUGUUGAGAGAGAUAAGCUUUUGUGAUUUGAGUAUGACGACGUGUCUAAAUGAGCGAUUAGCACAGCAAUUUAUGGACACUUGCGUGAGUGUUUAACUUAAGAGAAUGUGUUCUUAUUAUUAUUAUCAUUUUUCCCAACAGCUUUGUAUGCUAAAUUACAGAAAUCUGCAACUGAAGCUAUUCCCCUGUCUCAAUUUUCUCAAAAUUUGAUCACAUUUUUGACAAAGGAAAAUGUGAGGUAAACACCUUGACAAAUUAACAUUGGUAACUGAGGCAGCAGGACAAGUGUAAGAUGGUCUUUGUGAUGUAAUUCAGAAAAUCAAUUAAUGUGGGUUACUUUAGCUUCAAGUUAGAAAGGAACUUGGUAAAAAAGCUCACGUAUACAAGAAGUUGGGUGUUCAACAGUCUUCGAAGGAAGAUUGAGGUUAACUUGCCGUGCUAUAAUAAGAAAUUUAAUAAGAAGUUAUAAGGUACAAAUGUAAUUGUUCAGUUUAGACAAUUUUUAGCUCCUAGAAGAAAUCUUUUUUACUUUCUAAUGAAACUCCUUUGCUUCAUUUGUUUGGUUUCACCUUUUGCAAGUCAUAUUCAUGUCCUCUAGAUUGACGAGCUUGCUUGUUGAGUAGCUAACAGAGUCUUGGUUUUUUUUUUUUGUGGGGGUAUAUUUCUCAGAUUCUCGGGUACCAAUACUUUAUUCUACUGGCCGAGCAUGUAAUGGCCCCUCUGUAUGGUUCAGUAGAAGAGUUCAAGAGCCCCUCAGAGACCAUUAUUUCAGACAUAUUGAUGGAAAAUCUACAUGUAGUGGGAGAACUCGUGAAUCGACCACUGUGCAUGCCUCAGGGAAGCCUUUAGAACCUGGACAUGAAGCAUAUGAUUCCUCGAGCAUCUGGCGACCAAUGUUAUCUUCCCUAAAUGCUUUUUACAGAUUUUCACGGCCACAUACAGUUAUAGGAACAGUUAAGUGGUACUCUUGUAGGAUUUUAAGUUAAAAGUUGUUGUACGGUUAUAGUACUUUCCCAGAUCUCAAGAUUUUUAUCAAUAAAAUUAUAUUUUUCACUUGUCAUCGACAGUUCUAAGAAGUGCUUUAUGUCUGAGCAGGCUCUGAGUAUAGUCUCUGUUUCCCUAUUGGCUGUUGAGAACUUGUCUGAUAUCUCUCCCUUGUUUCUGACUGGGCUGUUGGAGGUAACGAGUCUCAUUUUUUGAAAAUUUUAACCAACUUUCAUGGAACUAAAUGUUUUUGUACUUUCAGGCACUUGUGGCUGCACUCUUCAUGAAUGUUUACAUUGUCGGACUAAAUCAAGUGUAUGACAUUGAAAUAGACAAGGUAUCCCUCUAUAACCAGUCUUGGAAUACCCUCGUUCUUUGCCCUGCUCUAAAAUGAUUUAGUAGGAUGUUAUCUAUUUAAAUACAACAAUUUCGUGAUCUGCAUCAAUGCAUCAUUCAGAAUGCAUGCAUCCUGGUGCCUAAAGUUUUCUUCUGGAACUCAUUUUGAAAUUUAAUCCCAUCAUUUCAGGUCAAUAAGCCAACUCUUCCACUGGCUUCGGGGGAAUAUUCUCUGUUGACUGGGGUUGUGAUCGUUUCAACUUUUGCAGUUUUGGUAAGUAAGACUGUUUAAGUUGUCAGAAUAGUUUGGAGAACCGUAUUUGCUAUCUAUUGCUUUGCAUAGAGCAUGCAAUACAUGGGAUUGAUGCUACAAGUAGUUUAGUAUGUUAGAAGUAGUCUAGUUUUUUUUAUGUCUAUUUUAGUGCUUAGAAUCUCACUUCAUAAAUGCUUGUGCACCCAAUUUCAGAGGUUUCAUUCAUACUAAGUACUGCUUCGUGCCAAAGAUGAUGUUGAUGCUAAUCUAUAGAAUACAUCAAUUGGCGGUUGGGUCACAUCAAGAAAAUGGGUCCUUAGCGAGCCAUGUUGCCAAUUAAGGCAUAAACCGAUGGGAGCUGACGCGCCCAUUGCACUGUAAACCGGCUAUAAAAUAUGCAUCAAAGAUAAAUUUUUGUAGUACAAUAAAUUAUUAAAUUAUUUGUUAUUACAUAUUAUUAUAUUUUAUUUUAUUUUAUAGUACUAAUUAUUAGGUAUUUUAUCAAUCACCUAAUAUAUUGUGCGGUGUAUGGACAUUAGUUUACACAGGUGCAAGCGAGAUUUCUUCUCUCUCUUGGAAUUAUGAGUGCACUCUAUUAAGCAUUCUCUGCAUCGGGUGUAUAUUGUACAUAUACCACAUACUUAAAACCCUUUAAUAGAGAUUUCAAAAUCUAAUUUACUAAACAGAAUUAAUUAUUAGGCUUUGUAGAUCAAAUAUAUUUAGUUAAGUUUUAAUAUUAGAAUAUUUGUAAUCUAAUAUAAGGUUCGGUGUACGGAGUGUUAAUAUACACAAGGUGCAUGUAAUAGUUUCUUCUUGCUCCGAUCAAUUUUAAUAAGGUAAAGACACCCUCACCUAUUCAACAAUUUGAAAUAAGUCCUCCAACUUUAACUUUUUAGUUAAAAAAUUAUUUAUAGAAUAACUAUCAAAACUAUUUAGUUUGAUUGAGUUUUUAAAUAAAGUUAUUACAAUAAUUUAACUCUACAAAUACUGAAAGUUAAGGUUAUUUUUUAUAAUGGCUACUUUAUAGAUUUUUUUUUUUUUUUGUAUUUCUUUGGUUACAAUUUAUUUAAUCUUAAAAUAAAAUUAUAUAUCUUAAUUAACUGAAAUACUACCUACCCGCCUCAAAACACACGGCCAACACUAGUUAGUGUUAUUUUGCCACUUACAAUGUCGUACAAUUAAAUACCAGCACCAAACAGAUGUUAAAUUUCCUCACUGAAAAUUAAUCUUGAUGCUGGUAUUUUCACUUGACAACGUUUGAAAUGGUUUAUUUUGUGUCAUGGUUGCCGCUUUUGGCUAGGAUUUCAGUCCAACAUAACAUUUUGAUAAUACAGCUGCUUUGUAGCUUACUCAUGCAUACAACAUUAUGGAAUUGUCAAAUGAUGCAACAUUGUUGCUGUUUAGGGGCUUUCACUUUCUAAGCUUUACUAUGAAUGUAUAUACAGUUAUCUUCAGCUUUAUGAUACUUAUGGCACGUCUUGUAAAUGUUUGUCUCAAUUUAGAGCACCUAUCAUAUACCACUUCUGUCAUUGGAACUACCAAAAUUUUUGACCUCUAUCAUAUACAAAUAUCUUAUUUCAAAUGAGACGAAAGCAACUUCUCAUUACGACUUGUAUUGCUAACGAAGAUGUAAAGAUCAGUGUGCCGUGAUUAAAAUUUCCUUUACCAACAUGUAAAUCAAAAUAUCUGAAUAUUGGUUAGAACAGAAUUGUUAAUCACGAGCUUUUCAUUCAGAGCUUUGGUGUUGGAUGGGCUGUCGGUUCUUGGCCAUUAUUUUGGGCUCUGUUCGUUAGCUUUGUACUUGGAACCGCAUACUCUAUCAAUGUAAGCAUUAUCCUUUUCUGCCUAAUUUACUCUAUUUUCUUCCAGUUGAUUUUUCAGAGUUUCACGACUGCUCAAUAUGCAUGCAAAUAAUGGAGGUUUUUUGACAAUGCAUCUGUGGAUUUGUUUUGAACUUCUUGUCAAUCAUAUUUUUUUAAAGGUAGAGAGAAAACAUUUCUUCUUUCAGUUGGGAAGUUUAGGCCUUUUUUACAUUUUAUCUUCUUCGCCUAUAUGAUAUUUGCCAGGUAUUUUAAUCCUGAAGCAAAAGAUAAAAAAGUUCCAUAGAUAAUAUGAGAUCGGCAGAUAAUUAGCUUGAUUUUGUUAAUUCUAAAACAAUGAAAUAAGUGAGCUAUUAUAACAGGCCAUUCCUAUUUGUUGCUCCCUUGCUUGCUUCCAGUUUGGACAAGGUAGUACCACACUGCAUUUAUUUAUUUGUAAAGGAUCCAUUCAAUUUAGAGUGCAAUUCAUGGGUGACCCAAAUUGAAGGUUAGUUAAAGCACUUCACACCCACCUUAGGGCUCUCUGUAAGCUAGCUAGAACUGAAGUGAAACUUAGUUACGCAGGAUAUUAACAAAACUAAAGAUGAUAUAUCUAAUCGAAAUUAAAAGCAUUUAUCUUGAUCUUGGCAUAAAAAAUAUCACCCACACACUCAUUAUCCAAUAAUAAGUUAGAGCAAAUAUAAAAAUAAAAGCAGUAUACAUGUUCUUUGUACCCUGAUGGCUUUUAAACUCGGAUACUUACAGAUCCCCUUUUUAAGAUGGAAGAGAUUUGCUGUUAUUGCAGCACUCUGCAUAUUGGCAGUGCGUGCAGUGAUAGUUCAGCUGGCUUUUUUUUUGCACAUUCAGGUAUAUCUUUCUAUAGCAACAUGGUAUAAGUUAUUUGAAUGCUCAAAAUGUCAUGUUUUCUGUGCUAAUAGUGCUAGGUGUUUUAUGUUGAUAAAUUUUCCAGACAUUUGUUUUCAGAAGACCAGCUAACUUUUCAAGGCCGUUGAUUUUUGCUACAGCGUUUAUGAGCUUCUUUUCUGUUGUUAUAGCAUUAUUCAAGGUAACCAUCAUGAUGGCAAUUCUAUUAUGUUCAUAUGUUCAAAUCUGCUUGGAGAUUCUAGUGUUGUGUGUGUGUGUGUGUGUGUGUGUGUGUGUGUGUGUGUGUGUACACACUAAAAAUAUAUUAAUCUUAAAGUUGAUCGUUAUGCAGGAUAUUCCUGAUAUUGAAGGGGACCGCAUAUUUGGCAUUCGGUCUUUCAGUGUCCGUCUGGGGCAAAAGCGGGUCGGUCAAAAUUAAUAAAACUUAUGACCCUGAUUGAAAUGACUGAAAAAUCUUCUUCAAAUUGCUAAUAACUGUGCAUUAAAGCAGGUGUUUUGGAUUUGUGUUUAUCUGCUUGAGAUGGCUUAUACUGUUGCCAUGGUGAUUGGGGCUACUUCUUCCUGCCUUUGGAGCAAAGUCAUAACUGUAUGUGGCCUUUUAUGUCGUUGAUUGUAGAUUUAAUUUACCUUACAUGAGCUUUUGCAAAAGUGCUGCUGAGUGAAGCUGUUUUAAGUAGAUAUCUUCCACAACCCUUCUCUCUGUAGCAGAAGCAGUUGCUUCAACUUGUAGCUUUUGCUAUUGGUCUGAAAGCUCAUAUCAAAUUUCUGGUACAAUGAAAUCUCUAGACUUUGUUUUUACCAAAUGUGCAGCUGCUGCUUUUCUGAGUAGAUUAUCUGUCUCAGAAGCCAGGUCAAAUGAUCACUCUAGGAUGAUUGUAUGCAUGACACCGAAUUCAUUUAUAAUGGACCAGACAUGAUUUUCUCAUGCAUCUUUUCUCUUAUUAUUUUAUUGUUAACAUAAAUGAAGGUCUAAAUGUUAUUUGUUAAUUAUGCUUUUGAUAAAAGUACUUUCUAUUGGAUUUUCAGGUUUCAGGCCAUGCUAUCCUUGCUUCGAUCCUUUGGAAGCGUGCAGGAUCUCUCGACUUGAUGAGCAAAGCUGCAAUAACAUCCUUUUAUAUGUUUAUUUGGAAGGUAAUCAGUAAUUUCUGUGCUUAUACGGUGAACUAAAGUUAGCUCCAUCUAAUUAUUAAUUUUAGACUCAUCCCUCUACUCGAGACUAUUUCAGACCCUUGUCAAAUGAAAUCAGGCAAAAUACGAAAAUUUCCUUGCACAUUUUGUCCCUUUAUUUUAUACAGUCAAAUUUUAACCCCUUUCUUUUUUUGCCCUCUUUGUAUUCACAGCUCUUUUAUGCCGAAUACUUGCUCAUUCCUCUUGUGAGAUGAAGACAUAUGGAGUCAGAUUAAGUGUGCUGUUGCAGUCGCAAGGGAUUCUUUUCUGAAACCCCCAAAUUAUCUUCUACUUUGCUUCUCCAAAUCUUUGCUUCCUGGCCAAGCUGCUUCUAGAAUCUGUCAUCUUCAACCUGUCCCACCACAAGAGCCAAUAUCUUAAGGUAAGUUGUAUAAUUUGUAUAUUAUUGGAGGAGUGCUUCGCAUGAUCCUAUAUUCCAUCACUCAGUGCGUUUCAAUAGGUCGCAGAUUAGAUGGAAAUUUAUUCGUAAUGAAUAGGAUAUUUCUGUACAUAUUAUUUGACACUGAUUGGUUAGUCUAAACAUGCUAACUUUUCUAGCUAUCCUUUGAUGGAUAGCUAGAAAAGUUACUUAUUUUCUUUAGGAUUUUUUUUGGAUAUUAGUAUUAAAAACAUGCAACAUACUCUUGGAUGUGCAACGGAUCAAAUGCUCUCAGAUGAGAUGUCAUUGGGGAUCUCUCCAGGGAAGUUUUCUCUAUUCUUGAGGGCCCGUGACUUCAAUUUAUUUUGGGCUGAAUUAAGUUUGAGCCCAGAACACGUCCACUUAUUGCAUAAUCUGUGGGUCAAACUGGGUCUUUUUUAAAAAAAACAGUAAAAGCCCGUAGACCAAACUGGGCCCGUUACGUAGCAAAUCUCAUUACUAUAAGGGCUUGUUUGGUUCAUCCAUUUUGGGUAUUGAAUGGGAAUCGGUUUGAUCAAAUGCAGUUAAUUUUGUUUGGUUCGCAUGAAUCGGUUUGGGAUUCCUAUUCCGGACUGGAAUGGGAAUGGCCUAUUAGCUUUCAACUUGAUUCCGGUCUUCUAGCUCGGAUUGAGAUUUCAUUCCGAAAGUCCACUAAAUUUUCGAAGCCCAUGUGACCAUCUCGCCUUCCUUCUCUUCACCCCUUUCUCAUAAAAAAAAAAAAAUCUAUCAUCUCUCAAAACCCUAUUCCUAACUCACAUCAAUAAAAGUUUUUAAAAAUAAAUUUGAUUUUUUUUUUGGAAAACUUAUUAGAGAAUAGUAUUAUAUUUUUCAUAAAUUUUAAAUAAUAUAAAUUUAUAUUUGAGAGUAAAAUUAGUAUUAUUGUAUCCUAUAAUUUUUUUAGUUUAUACGAACCAAAUAAUGAAAUGUGAAUAACUCAUUCCAAUUUCCAAUCCACAAAUAAACCAAACGUCUUGGGGGAGUGAGCCAUUCCAAUUACCAUUCCAAUUCAUUCUCAUUCCAUUAUCCAUUCCAAUUUUCCCCUUGAACCAAACAAGUCCUAAAAGUUUCAAGCGUGUUUGGUUGUGUGGUUUCCUAUUCGAUACUGAAAAUAUCUUUAAUAAUGAGCAUUUUCGUUCAUUUAUUUUAUUUUAUAUAUGUUUUUUGAUGUAUGAUAGUGAUUUGUUGGUAUAAUUUUAGCUCAUAAUAGGCUUUAUAUUUUUCUCUAGUCACUAGAAACUAAUAAUUAAUAGUUGUAUAUAUUCUCGGGCACAAACUUUGGAGCCUAGGUCACACUGCAAACUACAGAAACUGGGAACCAAAAAAAUAUUGUAAAUAGGAAAAAAGCAUAGAAAAUGUAAUCAGUUAAUCUAACUGAUGUUUAGGCUUCGUUUAGAAUCGCAAUGUGCACUUGUUGCGUUUGAUAGAAAAUUAUCGUAAGAAAAUAUUUUAUUAUUUUUGUAAGAAAUAAUUGUCACUUUUGUGCGGGGAAAAAAAAUUAGAAGUAGCAUAAUUUUACAAUUUUUUUUUAGUGCAAUAACGUUAAGCUGUUUUCCAUAAUCAAUGGGUUAUAAAUGAAAACUAGUGACACAAUUUUUAUAAAAAGGAUACCUCCUAGCCUUAAAACUAAGAGAUUUUUAAAACUACCAGUUUUUCAAAACUGGACCAUGAAAUCCAUCCGCGACUAGGGGUGUAAUGUGUGCCGUACCACAUUCGCACGGGCCGGAGGCUAGCCUGGCAUGGUCCGGCCCCAAAGUCGAGCCGUGCUGUGUCGGGCCGAAUAUCUUGACCUCUCGGCCCAGCACGCCCCCUCGGCUAGCACGGGACCGGUCGUGUGGGGCCGAGCUUUGAGCCAGCCCAUUUUUUAUUUAUUUAAUUUAUUUUUAAAAUAUAUUAAAUUUUAGAAAAUUAAAAUUUUAGAAAACCACGUGGGUGGCCUGCGGGCCGCCCAUCCCGUUUUACACCCCUGACCACAACUACAGAAUAACAAAGCAAGGCAAGACGAUUGGGAUGGCUGGUUGAAAGUUUUCCAAGGUAAAUUUGAUUUGGAAUCUAUGAUUAAUUAACCAUAUCUUGUGCAUUCUUUAUUUUAACUUUUGAAAGAGGUAAAAAAAAAAUAAAAAAAAAAAAAAGGAGUAUAAAAGGGAAGGGUGACCUAUUAGGUUUGGGUUUAGUUGUGUUACUGGGAGGAGUAGGGACGCAAAUGGAUCCAGGUUGAUGGAGCUUCCGUUCAUAAUGGGGACAGUAAGUGGAGGCCUUACUCAUUUUGAAUUCUAUCCUGAUUUGGUGUAAAAAAAAAAAUAGAGAGUGAGAGGUGAAAGACUCAUUUCUUCCCUUUUUUUUCCGUCCUAUUCGAUGUAAUUUUAUUAAAAACUUGUUCUUGUUUCAAUCCGUCCUGAUGGAAUAAUAAGUGGGGAUAAAAAAAUAGAGAUAAAAAGUAAAAAAUCAAUUCGUUCCGAAUUUAUUCGGAUUCACCAAAAAAAAAAAAGGUGGGAGGUGGGGGACCGCUAGGAUCCGUCAAGUUUGCAUCCUUAGGGAGGACUCGGCUUGAGAUACAAGAUUUCAAGCUCCCGAUUCUCAAACACCCCACAGACACACACAAAAGAAAAAGAGAAAGAGUUUUUUUUUUUUUUUUAUUUCUUUUUUUUGGAGAGAGAGAGAGAGAGAUAGGUAGCACGCUAUCUGUUUCGUUUAUUCAUUUCAUUUAGAAAUAAACUUAGCUAGAAAUAUAAUAUAAAUCAACUGAGUUCGAAUUUGAGAUCUCGGAUAUCAACUAUCAAAUUUUUUACCAUACAUCUUAAAAGUCACAUCUUAUUAAACUUUUCAGAUUCAAGUAAGUUUGGGUAAAUGAAUUUGUUCAUUGCUUUCCUCAAUGCGCUUAGUAAUUCCUAGAAAUCAAAAUGAUGGAGAGAGAGAGAGAGAGAGAGAGAGAGAGAGAGGUCAGGUACUGUAGCUUUGCAGAAGGAAUCCUAAGUGUGCUCUGCAAAAGAAUCGAUCCUUCUUUAUUUCCUCACAAGAGUCGUAUGACCCCCUCACUUGUUCCCCUCUCUCUCUCUCUCUCUCUCUCUCUCUCUCUAAAUCCUGAUCCUGUUCUCACAAUCGAAGACAUAACGUGCAACAAACAUCUUAAAACUCUCUCUCUCUCUCUCUCUCUCUCUCUCUCUCUCUCUCUCUCUCUAUUCAUUUAUGUACAACUUAGUAGCAAUCUUGUUGCUUAGUGGUCCCUAUAAUAAAGCAUGUGAUAUGCACACAAUGGCACCCACAACUCCCCAAGAUCCAUCCCCGAUCUCAUGCAGUGUUCAUAGCCUUAAAUACCAACCAACUCAGUUAAAGAACACUCUGUUAAAUUGCAUGCCCCCUUUUAUUGCCAUUUAUUAACUGUACAAACUCACUCAUCAGCUCCAUUCUAUUCUCCAAUCACUAACUCGCAUUGCUCGAUCGCACUCAAUUGUCGAUAUCUCGCCUGUACUGGUUCGCGAUACUAGGAAGUAGCAUGCAGCUCACUUAAUUUCGACAUCGUAAGAGGAAAACGGAUCGAAUGGUAGGUCGAAAAUAUGAAAAAACUUGUGCCUACUCUAGAUUACACCAAACUUGUUCCAAAAAAGCUACUAACAAUGAUAAACUGUGCUAUGAUCAAACACAAAGAGUUAUAUAUUAAUUGCCUCCUUAAUUAAAUUCCUUUUAAGCCUAUACAUGGUGAACUCUCUUGAAGGAUAUAUGCAGCGCCCCACUCUUGUAUAAAUGAGUGGACCAUGAAUGUACUAAGCUAUAGAUAUCGCCGAUCUCGUAGACGAAUCGAUUUCUCGCAUCCGUCAACCCACAUUUGAACCGAUAUCUUUGAAUUGAUGAUAUCAAACUUCAAUGAUUUUUUCUCUUUUUCCUUUUUUUGGUUUUUACUCCCAAUAUCAUACUCAGUUACUGUAGGCUUUCAAUUAUUUCAAAAGAUAUAGAUUCACUAGUUAAUGACUAAUGUAAAAAUCAUGUUUGCUACAUGCAUAUAUAUAUAUUGAAUUGUUAAAUUCUUUUUGAUGUUAGGAAACAUUGGAGCUAGUUCCUCAAAAAAUUUAAAUGAUAAAUUUGCACCAUAUUACUACUCUAGUUAAUUUUGCGUAUCGGUGCACUAUAUUAUGGAGGGUGAUAUGAAGGACAAUGAUUAGCCUCAAGUACUUAAAUUUGAUAUUAAAAAGCUUAUUUGAGUAAAUUAAGUUUAUAUUGCAAAUAAAUCUAUGUACUUCAAUGUAAUCCAGUGGAAAAACAAUAUAAUACUUUAGUACUCUUAGGUGUUAGUUGCUAUAUUUUUCUAUCUUGCUUCAUAAAAAGAAAUGUGAUCCAAGAUGAUCGAUUUGUAACCUAUCCCUUUAAUUAACCAAGUUAUACAUAUAUAUGUAAUGAAGUUGAAUUUGCGGGAUUCGCAAACAUACUUUAAGGUUUCAUAAGUCCACAAGUUUUAAAUCUUGCGCAAUUAAUGCAUCAUAGAUAAAUUGAGUAUAGUAAUUAUAUGUGCAUACAUUUUGAAAUAUCAAAAUUAUACAGUUCUAAGAGAACUGUUUACCAUUAAUAAAUAAGUGUGACCACUUAUAAGAUCAUAAGAGAGGCGCACCGAUAAAUUUUGGCGUAUGUGAAACAUGCAUAUUGCGCAAAAUCAACACAUGUUCAUAGAAUAUUGAAUAGAUUAUGUGUGGAGUGGAAUUAAUUAACCUGCGUAAAAAGUUAAACCACUUUUGCGAGAACUCGGGGACUCAUAUUCUAUAUCCACAAAAUUGAGGGACAAGCAUGUAAAACCACUCUUGAGUUGGAUUUACUAAUUCACGUUGGUUGCAUGCAUGGCCUCAGCAGCAAGAGAGUGUAAGUUCCACAAUCUACUUCAAUAUCUUCACAUUUAUUGAGAAACUAACUAUUAUAUAUAUACACAUAUAAAUCUUCUUCUUUUUUUUCCUUUUUUUUUUUUUUUUUAAUAUUCUCUCUGCUAUAGUCUCAGAUACGCAGUAACAAAAAGAAUGAGUUAAAAUCAAAGAAUAUUAUCUGGUAGUAGUAAAUUAUGGGCUUGCUUUGGAAGAUACAACUCUCUGAGCCCCAAAACUACUCACGUGUUGCUUGAGUUCAACUGUAUUUGUAGCAGAUCACUGAAACAACUAGAGUGUCAGUUCCCAUUCUUCUUAUAAUUUUAGUUUGGUUAUUCACCUACAUGAAGGGUAUAAAAUAACUGUAACUGCAUAAUCAGAGCAUAUAUGCCAGUUAAAAAAUGUUACUGGUACCUCAAAAUGUGCCACAAAGUGUAGGAUGAGUUUUUAUUCCAAUGUUUUCCGUAUAUAGGAAUUUUCGAAUCGACGAUCGGCUCUGUUAGACUUGAUCUAGGGUAUUUGAAGUUUUUAUAAAAUAAUUUUUGCGAUUUUUUGAUGUUAUUUACCUAGUGAUCGAAAGGAUUCAAAAUUAAUAAUUUUUAAUGGUUGAUAUCUGCCGUUUUCAAGUUUAACGGUAUAGAAAUAUUCAAAUCAGAUGAAAUUUUGAUACAAAAUUCUUUAUACUAUCUACAACAAGAUCAAUAUUUCUAAUCGAAAAUUUUAAUGCUAUAUCACCACUUUUUAUAGGAUUUUUAUUUUCAGCCGUUAAAAAUUAUUAAUUUUGAAUCCUUUCAAUUGCUAAGUAAAUGAUAUUGAAAAAUUGCAAAAAUUAUUUUUUAGAAACUUCAAAUACGUUAGAUCAAGUCUAACGGAGCGAUCGUCGAUUCGGAAAUUCUAUCAUCUAAAACGGCUCAAGAGCAUGAAGGCCUCCGUGCUCCUGAGAGUACAGCAGUCCUGUUAUAUAUAUAUAUAUAUAUAUAUAUAUAUAUAUAUAUAUAUAUAAUAUUAUAUAUAUAUAUAUAUAUAUAUAGAAUUAGGCUAGAAUGCUAUUAAUAGUAAAACGCUCUUUUUGCUAUCAAGUUUUUAACCCUUGGAUGAAAAAUUAUAGGGUCAGGAUGAUAUUAGUCGGUUAGAGUUGAGUGGUCCCCCUAGGGUUGAGUGGUCCCCACUGGGUUAUAGUAUUUAAUCCAAUGGUUAAAAAUAAUAAAAAGAGUUGAUCCAAAGGCUAAAAAACUAGUAGCAACAAUGGGAUUUUGCUACUAAUAGUAGCCCAGUCCAACUCUAUAUAUAUAUAUAUAUAUAUAUAUAUAUAUAUAUAUAUAUAUACACAUCCAACUUACUUAGAGCUGCAUUUGAAAUCUGACUUAUCAACUGUGCUUUGCGAUACCUCAGGAGUCAACUUACUUAGAGCUGCAUUUGAAAUCUGACUUAUCAACUGUGCUUUGCGAUACCUCAGGAGUCAGGAGCUAUCGUAUCCAAAUCAUUUUUUUUGAGAUCGACAUCUUAAGAGAGCAUGUGUUCUUAAAUUUUUGCAUGAAAAGUCAAAGUAGUUGACACAGUUGAUCAAUACGAAAAUAACACAAUCUACCACACUAUAUUUACUACUCUCGAAAGUCCACAAUGUAUUAAGAAAAUCAAGCAAUUUCAAAAGGUUUAAUUAAUUUCAGGUUGAUUAUCUAGACAUUUAAUACUGUCCAACCAUCGCAAACUUACCGUACUUAUGCGGAUCGAUAGGCUUAAUUGCUGCAAAUAAACAAAUACCGUACAAUAUAUUUCAUGUCCGUGAUGUAUUUUUUCUUUUAUGUAGCUUUAAUGCUUCGAGAAUUAAUCAUGAAAUAAGCCUGCUACAAGCUAGGCCAACUAAUUCCGACAAGCGAAAAAAUAAAAUAAAAAAUCUAUACUAUCUCUAUCUCUUGUACAAUUGUCAAAGAUUAAUGGUUAGGUAUAUAUAAUUGUUGUAGGAAAUUAAUCAGCAUUUAAUAACUAUUUCUUUUUUUAUUUUUUACAUGCCAAAUUGGUGUAAUUAACACUACAAUAUUAUAAAUAGCUACUAAUGCCACAUAUAUUUGUUUUUUCCUUUUUCCAGUGAAAUUUGACUUGUGUUUUUUCUUGUAUUUAGCAUAUAUAGAAGUUAGUUGUAAUAAAAUUUAAGAACGAUGGGAGGAGCAUAAUUUAAGACCAUUAAAUAACUCCCGUUCCUUCAUAUGCUAAAUUUGUCUAUGUUUUUUACUACAAUGGAAGCAAUCAAUGCCCACAGAGAAUAUAUAUAAUCAUAAUACAUACUACAAUGCUAUAUCUAUUUCCUUUUUUUCCCUGAAAUUUUCCUUGUGGUACAUAUAUAUAUAUAUUUAUUUAUUUAUUUAUUUUAGCAUGUUAGUUAUGUCAUUUACUUUGGAAAAGAAUGGAAUAUCCAGAUCAUAUAUAUAUAUGGUGGCAGUGUAGAUUCCAUGAAGUAUAUUUAUUGUGGCUGCGACAGUAACUGUAUAUGAAAUUGGUUGGUUCUUUGCAGGAUUUGCUAGAUAUUGUUUCUGAAACUUAGCUACUGAGGAGUAAAUUCUGCAGUAAUAUACCUGCUGGUAAUCUACUGUUCUCAGGGCAACGCAUGUGUCGUUUCGCACGUAACAUUAAAAUGCAAAUUUAUGGACUAAAAGACGAGGAAUAUCCGUCGAAUAGGAUUUCAUGAGAAGAAGCAUAAUAGUUUUAGUUUGGCUUCAAUGCUUGUUCCAGAAUAGUGGGACUAAUCAUGCUUUGCCAUUGCAGCUGUAAUUUUCAAUUCAUAUAUAUGUAUAUCAUUCUAAUCCUAUAAUUUCUCAUCCAAGGAUUAAAAACUUGAUAGCAAAAAAGAGCAAACACUAUCAAUAGUAUUCCAGCCAAACUCUCUCUCUCUCUCUCUCUCUCUCUCUCUAUAUAUAUAUAUAUAUAUAUAGCACCAAGCGCUUGGUGCUACAAAAUUUUUCGCUGUUAGGUCUACCUCUUUGAUUAUUUUCGUCCGUUCGAUCAUACGAUUCAAUCAAUCACCCACUCAAUCUUUGGAACCACUAUUAUUCUAACCACAUAUCCGUUUAUUUAAGGUCUGAAAAUCUAACAGCAUCAAUAAUUUGGUGCUAUAAUAGUACAGUAGCCUAUAUAUAUAUAUAUAUAUAUAUAUAUAUAUAUAUAUAUAGUGCCAAAAACUAAUAAAAAAUAUAUUAUUUUGCUUCUCAAGUACAUUUAAAGAUGGUGAGAAAUUGCUUACAUCUCAAUCUUAAAGCAUGCAAGAGCAUAUUAAACACACCAAUGGAAGUUUGCACAGUAAGGUGUUAAUCACUUCAAUACAACUUUAAAAAAAAUUCCAAAAAAAGGAGGAAAAGAUCUACUUGAACAUUGACAAGCUAGGUGAUCUUGCCUAGAUAUUAUCCCCUUUGUGAGCAGCAGAAACCAUUCCCAUACCAAGAUAUGAUUCUCUUUGUGCGGUUGGUGCACGGCUUCAAGAUGAAAAUUUUAUAAGAGAAUUAUAGUAUACUAUCUGCUUCGUUUAUUAUUAUUAUUUUUUUUAAAUAAACUUAACAGAACAUAUAAAGCAACUAUUAAGUUCUUUACCACCUGUGCUAGGGUCGAGGGUCGGUCCGUGCAUGGGAAUAGCAUAUGAAUGGGGGAGAUGCGCUAGUGCGGUGCACAGUUGACAUGGCGCGCGGCACAGGCAAUUUACUAUUUCUCAAUUUUAAGAGACAUAACCAACUAAACUGUGUAGCAGAUGAACCUGAGCAAAUAACAAGUACUAUGGAUUAGUAGUGUACUGGCACUUUGAUUUAUGAGGAGACUUUUCUAUUUUCCUUUGGAAGGGAGGAAAUAGGAUAUGUUCGGUACAUUAAUGAUUACCUCCUCUCUAGAAAGGUUUAGAUAUGCGUUUCAUAAAUUGGAAUAUAUAUAUAUACAAGCUAACACUGCUAGGUACAAAAUCAGAGAUUGCAUUGAACUAAUUUUGCAAUUUAGUGUAUUCACAAGGGAAUUGGGUUAUUUGUGCCCUUAUUUAUGUUUGAUAUGGUUUUUAAUAUUGUUGAAGAAGCUUAUACCAUGGCAAUUGAACCUCAAAUCAGUUGAUUAGUUUUUACAACUAAAAUCAGGCCACCCAAAUAAGUAGAAAUCAUCAUAAAUCAUGAAUUGGUGAGCAUUAAUGCAUAUGCUCAAAUUUUUUUAAAGGGUAAAAAUAUACAAAACUUAUCUAACUAUUGACUAUUUCGAAUCGAUUACUCAAUCUUUUAAAAUUUUGAUUUUUACUAUCCAACCUUUCAAUUUAUUUAAUUUGAGUCAGUCGACGAUACUUUGACUUCAAAAUUUAAGUUAAUCAAUUAGUUUAAUGAAUUUAUAGCUGCGAAAAUUAUAUAAAAUAUAAUAAUUUAACUUGUAAAUUAAAUUUUAAAGUCAAAGUGUCGUUGCUUAACUCAAAUCAAUUAAAUUGAAAGGCUGGAUACAUAGUAAAAUUAAAAUUUUAAAAGAUUGGAUUAGCAAAUUAAAAUGAUCUAUAGUUCAGGUACGUUCAGUACAUUUUUUAUCUUUAAAUUUUUUUGAGAAAAAACAUAUAGGGAUUGUCCCUGUAUUGGGUAAGCAAUUAAAUUUGAGAGAAAUGGGCCCAACUACUAGAGAUAAUUAAAUUAUGCAAUAUAUUUAAGUAACACAAGAUCCUUCUAGAGGGUGCAAGAUGUUGAUAUAUAUGGAAUAAGCAAAGCUUUGUCAAAGGCAAUUAAAGAUGAGUUUGUUGACACGGUUGCAAUUGUUAGAGGUCACCAUCUUCAGAUAUUUAUUUAUGGGAGUGCACUCCCAAAGGUCUAGAUCCAUAAACUAACAUAACAUUAUUAUACAAGUAAUUAUUAUUAUGAGAAUAAAUAUUUGGUUGUUUAACUCUUGUUUGAUCAUGAUGGGAAUGUAGAAGUGAUUGAUACAGCAGGGUUAUUACAUGGACACGAUUCCCUUUUCUUUCCUAAGGUUCCAACGCAGGAAAAUUCCAUCUAUUGGUUAGUUUCCACCAUUUUAAUUAAUAACUUAUAUGCAUAUAUCAAAUAUGUAUUAAAAGCUUAAUAUGGAGCUAUUUGUGAGCGUUUUAAGCUCAAGUUCAUAACUUAAGCUUAACCUACGCAGCUUCACUCGUGUUCAACUCGUUUACUAUAACAAAUAAAUAGAAACUUUAGGUAAGAAGAAAAAAUAUAUGAAAAGAAAAUGAAAAACAGAAAUAGGUGACACAAUGAGUCAUUGCUCUGAUCGAUUAACUAUAUGAAAAAAUUCAAAUAACCCUCCUGUAAUUUCGCACUUUUUCACUUUAGUACCCCAUGCUUUAAAAUUCAAGUUAGUACCAUGUUGUUUCGCACUUUCUCACUUUAGUACUCUGUGGUUUGAAGUGUAUCAAGUUAGUACUCAGUGGUUUUAUCUUUGUAUCAAGUUAGUACCCUGUGGUUUCAUUUUUCUCUUUUUAUUAUCCAUUUUCGGGAUAUUUUUUUCGUUAAAUCAGUGACAAAGUUAAAACUAAAAAGUAUUAAAAUGAAUAUUCAAUAAACCUAGGUAGGAUAUCUGAAGUUUUUUAUAUAUAAUUUAACGAAAUAUUAAACCACAUGGUACUAAAAUGAGAAAGUGCGAAACCAUAGAGUACUAACUUGAUAUAUUUUAAACCAUAGGAUACUAAAGUGAGAAAGUGCGAAACAACAGGGGGUAUUUGAAGUUUUCCCGUAGGGUGUGUUUGGUUUCACGUAAAACUGUGAAAAAAAAUUUUUGGUAGAAAAAUUUUUUUCGGAGGAAAAGAAGUUUUACGUUCUUUAGCGUUUGGUUUGUAGGAAAAAAAAUUAGUUUUCCGUUACGAUUGUUUGGUUGAUACAAAAAAAAAGUUAUGAAGAUAAAUUAAUAUAUUUUUUUUCUUAUUUUAUAUAUUAUAUAUUAUUAAUAAAUAAUAAUUAUCAUACUAUAUUUAUUAUUAUUCUAGUUUAUAUUUUAAAAAUAUAUAUUUAAAACAUAUUAUACAAAAAUAUGUAAUAUCAAUUAUAAUAAUAUAUAUUUAAUGCUAUAAAAUAAAUUACUAUAUAUUAUAAAUAAUAUUAUAUAUAUUUAUAUAUAAUAUUAUAUAUAUAUAUAAUAUAUAUAAUAUUAUAUAUAUUAUGAGCUAGUCUCCUAUACUAUCUAUAGUACCGGGGCCUCGGUACUAUAGUCUUGUUUUCGAUUUUAGGGUGUUCAAAUCAACGAUCCACAUCAUUAAAACUGAUUUAAGGUAUUUAAAGUUUUUAGAAAUAAAAUUUUGUAUUUUUUCGACAUAGUUUACUUUAUGAUCAAAUCAUUUCAAAAUUGUCAAUUUUAAUAGAUACUAUGGCGAGUUUGGAGUUUAACGGUGUAGAAGAAUCUAAAUUUCUUCAAAUUUUGAUAGAAAAUAUUUUAAAUUAUCUAGAUUAAAGUUAACAUUCUUGAUCUUGAAUUUAAAAGUCCUAUACUUAAAUUUUAAAGAUUAUUUAAUUUUCACCGUUCAUUUUGACAUAAUUUAUUUACUAAGUAAACGAUGUCGAAAAAAACUAAAAUUUUAUUCCUAAGAACUUCAUAUACCUAAAUCAUAUUUAACGGUGUGGAUCGUUAUUAUGAACACCCUAAGAUCGAAAACAACAUAGUACCGGAGCUCCGGUACUAUAGAUAGUAUAGUAGCUUAAUUAUAUAUAUAUAUAUUAUAUAUAAUAUAUAUAUAUAUAUAUAUAUAUAUAUAUUAUAUAUAUAUAUAUAUAUAUAUAUAGAGUGAGGUUACUAUGCUAUCGGAAGCACGGAGCCUUCGUGCUUCCAGCUCGUUUUCGAUUUUGCGACUUUCGAAUCGUCGAUCGGCUCCGUUAAACUUGAUCUAGAGUAUUUGAAGUACUAAGAAAAUAAUUUUAUGAUUUACGAUAUUAUUUGCCUAGUGAACGAAAGGGCUCAAAAUCAACGGCUGAAAAUAAAAAUUUUACAAAUAUAGUAAUAUGACAUUAAAAUUUUAAAUCAAAAAUAUUGAUCUUGUUUUAUAUAGUAUAAAGAAUUUUCUUCAAAAUUUCACGUGAUUUGGAUAUUUCUACACCGUUAAACUUGCAAACGGCUCACUACGGUCAUUGAAAUUUGUUGAUUUUGAGUUCAUUCGAUCACUAGGCAAAUGAUAUCGAAAAAUAAUAAAAUUUAUUUUCAGAUACUCCAAAUACUCUAGAUCAAGUUUAACGGAGCCGAUCGAUGAUUCGAAAGUCGCAAGAUCGAAAACAAGCUGGAAGCACGAAAGCUCCGUGCUUCUGAUAGCAUAGUAGCCUCACAUAUAUAUAUAUAUAUAUAUAUUAUAUAUAUAUAUAUAUAUAGUAGGGCUAGAAUACUUGUAAAAGUAUCAUAGGGGUGAUACUUGUGUGUUUUUAGCCUUGGAUGGAGAGAUGGUGAGGUUGAAGAUGAUGAAUGGUAAGGUGGUGGUAGGUGGUGGUAGGUGGAAUAGUAUUUUUAGCCUAAUUUUCGUUUUCCGCGGACGCCAGCUGGAAAACAAAAAUUGAUUUUUUUUCAGAGAAUCUGUGAAACAAAUUUUCCAAAAAAAAAUUUUUGUGCAAUCAAACACCGGAAAAAAAAAAAAAUUUCGGAGUUUACGUGAACCAAACAACCCCUUAACUAUAUAAACAAAAAAAUAUUUGGUGGAGCCCACAUGAGUCACUCAACUAACUGACGUUGGAGAUCUUAUUGCUCCCUCGUGUGGUCCCACGUGUCGCCAUACGUACGAGAUACACCCCGAAUUAAUAUGCACACACUCGCCACAUUCACUCCUCGGAAAUCGGGUACUAUACUAUUUAAUUCGUAAGAGUCAUUUGCAUGGACAGCGAAGCUACAUGUAUAUUGAUCUCUACAUAGUAGAUAUAAAUCUUACACUUCGCUUAUUACUUUGUUUAUUAAUGUAGGCGUAAGUCUCGUUUAGAGGGAAUCAGUAUAAAGACGAAAAAAAAGACUACAAGCUAAUUAUGUUAAUUGGAGUAUACGUAUAUAUACAGGAUUGGUACUUGAAUUCUAUUAUAAUUGAAAAUAAUAAAUUUUAAUAUAUUUCUAACGCUAACUUGAUAAAAAAUAAUCAAAUAAUUAGAUUCUAAAUAGAAAAAUAUAAAACUUUUCAAAAAUAACCUAAAAAUGCAAAAAAGUGAGACGUAAGCAGUUGAAUUUGGAUUCCAAACUCGGCGAGAAUGGCUUUGUCCUUUGAUGCGUGUAUUUCAAUAAGUGUUUUCGAAAUUAGAGUUAACAUUGAAAAUGAAUACUCGUGCAAAAAGUUAUGCCCGUUUAUUAAAGAUUUUUCAUGCUGAUCAUAAAAAUUGCCGAGGACAGCGAGAUUCUGGACCAAGCUUGAUUGGGUCAUGCUUUUUCAGAAACCUUAAUGCCAAAUUAACCUCAUUACUCGUCUAAUUAAAAAUUUAGAUUUUUUCAAUGCACUACAACAAUUUUUUUCUGUUGCAUUAAUUUAAGUGCAUCAAAAAUCAAUGCUGUUGUGAUAACACAGAUUAUAUUAUUAAGUCAUUUAUUGUCAUAAAAUUUAUAGUAAUAAUAUGCAAUGAUUCUUAUUUGCUGCAAAAAAUUGGUAUUAUAACUAAAUACGAGCUGAAGUUUUUGGCUUGAUAUUUUAACGAGCCAGCUCGUAUUCGGCUCGUUUAUGAAAUGAGCCAAACACGACCUGAUCCCAGCUUGUUCGUGUUCUGCUCGUUGACACCCCUAGUAUGGAGAGAAUUUUGUUAUCGUGAGAACGAGAACGAGAACGAGAACGAGGAUGGAGCCAGCAAAGAAAUUUACCCGGAUUGCAGCGGGGCCAUGGAUAUUAUUCACCGCCCUUAUGAAGUCAACCAUCCGAGCAAAAUAAUAAUAUAUAUAUAUUAUUAUAUAAUUCUUAAUUUAUUUAUAAAUGCAAAAAAUUUACUUUGAUAUCUUUAAUAUUUUCUAAUUUAACCAAAUAUUUUAAAUAUAUUUAAUUUUUUAUAUAGUAUAUUACUCAAAUAAUAUUUAAUUGUUACAUAUUUUAUAAUUUGAUAUAUUAUACUUAAUAAUUUGAUAAUAAAUAAAAAUAAAUUUAAUAAUUAGAUAAACUUUAAAAUAAUUUAUAUUUAAUUCAAUAUAAUUUUUAAUAAAAUAUUUAUGUAAUAUAUUUUUUAAAAAAUUUAUAGGAUAUCCGUGGGGACGGACGGAGAUAACGAAACUUUCCACCUACUAGAAGAGGAGACGGAGACGAGGAUCAUAAAAAUUUGCAAGGACGGGGAUAGGAAAGGGCUCGCUGUCCCCUGCCAGCCUCAUUGCCAUUGCUUCCACCAUCAAACUAUUAGCCAACUGUGCGAGGUACGGUCAGUAAUUUUUCUAUUUAUGUCAAAAUAAAAGAACACAACAUAAGGCCCAAGUUGGAAAUGUAUUGUUCAAAAACACUUGUUUCUGAGACGAAUAUCAACUCAAAGCCUGAGACGCUGUUUGGUUCUUCGAAAAGUGUACCAAAACAAAAAGUUGUUCGAGAAAAAAAUAUUUUAUAAAUUUUUUUUAGUUUUUUAUUCGUUUGAUUUCAAGAAGAAAUAACUUUUCCACAACCUCUUUUCCAAAUUUUAUGAAAGAUUGGAAUUUUCAUCUUCCUGAAAAAUUAAUCCAAAAAUUAAAAAUAUUAAUCUGCCAUUGUAUUUGAAAAAUAAUUAAAAAAAAAAAUCAAACUAACGAAAAACUAAAAAGAAGGUUUUUCAUGAAAAUUUAUUUCUCAAAAGAAAAAUCCAUGCUUUUCUGACGAAUCAAACACUCCCUCAUUAGCUGUUCCUAUAUAUUGUGGGUGGCAAUGAAUUUGAAACCUAAUUACUUCAAAUUUUUAAAUAAAUUUAUUUUUAAAAAAAUUAAGGGAACAAAUAACAGGUACUUUUUUUUUUCUUUCUAAAAAAAAAUAUCAACUCAAUCUUGAGGCUUUUUAUUAUCAUCAUUAUUAUUACUAUUAUUAUUGGUACUAACUCAAUCCUCUAAAUUUAUGUGUGGGAUCAUUGGGAGAUCCCCUCUCCUUCAUUCUCCAUCCCCUGUCAACCCAAUAACCAAUUAUAACGUUCUCGAUCCCCGUACUCUCUCUCUCUCUCUCUCUCUCUCUCUCUCUCUAUAUGCUACAUUUAUGACGUCGAUGAGACCAGUAAUUAAACACCUCCAAAUAUAAACUCAACAAGAGAUGGAUACGCUCCAGGGGUCCGUGUUUGCGUACGUGCAUGUGGAGUUAAGCGUGGAAGGGUGUGGAAGGUACGUAACGUACCAUGCAUGCAUGUAUUUAUGCAACCGAUCAACAGCUUACAGUUUUCUUUUUUCUUUUUUCUUUCCUUUUUUUUUUUUUUUCUCGUUGUGUGUACGUACAAAUGUAUCCGCCCCUGGAUCGAUUCCCAGGGAUCCCCGCUGUUCGCUGACCUGCUCCGGCUCCGGGCGCCAGAUCCGAUAAUCCGAUCGAUCGAUUGACCAAUAUUCGUAUAUAUAUAUUCUUAAUUUUCGAAGAAUAUUAAGACACGUAGCACGAUCAUGUGGAGGAAAAAGUCUGGAGUGUGACAGUGACACUACAUCAUGUUCCUAGCCAAGUAUAAUUUUUUUUUCUAAAAAAAUAUUAUUAUACUUUAGCCUCAAAAUGAAAAGUUUGAUUGGCUUGAGAGAUAGAUAUAUAAUACGGUGUAACUGCUACGUAAAUUUAAGCCACUUGUCUUCGUGGAAUGCUAUGUAUAUAAAUUUAGAGGGAGGGUGUUUCGGCGGUGAGUAAAUUUAGAAAAUUUCAUUUGGGAGAAACGCUUUGAGAAUAAACUUUAUAGGAUGCAAAUUGGAGCGUAAAUGAUUAAUAAGAGAUUGGUUUGGGCAUGAUAUCCUGAACAGGAUCCAUUACAAACUAAUCCCUACAGAUACUUUUUUUUUCUUUUUUUUUAAGGGAAAGAGAUCAGAUCUAGAGAGGGAGCGUACUAUUUGUUUCUUUUAUUUUUAAGAAAUAAACUCAGUUAAAAAUAUGAAGUAAUUAGACAUUCAAAUUUAGAAUCUCAGAUACUAAUCAUCAAAUUCUUCGCCAGCGAGGGACGGUCGAUAAUCUCUUUAGACUGGUGAUACAUUAAUAAAUUAAUUAAUGUAGUGCUUUAGUCUGUGUGUCACUACAACAGAAGUAGGUUAUAGGGACACAUAUUUAGGACACUUUUGAGUAAGUGUCCAAUUUAUCCUAAAACUUAAAAAAACAUCUACUAAUGCCUAAAUAUAAAGCCGAAUCCAACCAAAAAUAGAAGAUUACUUUACUCAACCCAUCACACUCAGUCCAUUUGACCCGAUUACAAACAGAAAAGAAAAAAAAAAGAAAAAUCAAUUACUAUCUUUUCUUCUCUCUUCACUCAAUCCACUGAAAUUCUAGACAAAGAGCAUUUCCUAUCAUCCUCCUCCGCCACCGCAGCCAACGAGAUAGAGUUUCGGCGUUUGCUAAAUGUUUAAAUAAGUGUUGGUAAAUUAGCAGCACUCUUUUAGGUUAUAGCGACACUCUUUAACUGUCACUAUAUACCUAGCGACCCCACAUAUAGUAACACUUUUAAAAGUGUCGGUAAUUUUAGCUAGCAGCACUUUUUUGACAUGUACCUAUAUUUAAAAGUGUCGCUAUAGACCGUUUUUGUUGUAGUGUGUACGAAACAAUCAAAGCCUAGCUUCUUCCUGUUGUUCUCUCCAAAAGAUCGUGGCUUCAUUAUUUAAUUUGUUAAAUCUCUGUGUCUAACAAGUAUAAGUUUUUUUUGAACUUUUCGAUUAUUAUUUACGCACAUGAAUGAAAGUGUAAAGACUAUUUUUAGAUUAAUGUUUUCUAUUACAUCAGUUUAUUUCAUCAAUCAUAUUAACAAUUGCGCAUGCAUUAAUUUGCCCCCACACGAGGCUCGAUCACCUCGGUUAAAAAGAGAUAAAUCUACAACCAAAUGAAGUAGUAAAAAUAGAGAAAAAGUAGUUCGUGGUUGGACGAAAAUUAUAACCAACUUUCGGUUGCGGAGUUAGUAUUAUUCGACCCGGCCCGUUUUCCUAUUUAGUGGAGCUACAAAGCCAACAAGUUAAUUACUCCUAGUAUAUAUAUAUCAACAGCAUAAGUUAUUUAUUAAUUUUAUAAUGAUUUUGCUACUUAUACGUACGUACGUACGUAGAGUGUAUGACUCCCAUGUAUCAUGUACGUACUGCACCCUGACGUAUUUUACUACCCAGGAUAUGGUAAAGAAGUGGAGAUGGAAAUUGUGCGGGGCCAUUGUCAGAGUUUUUAAAGGAAAAGCAGCGUAGCUUCGCUUUCCAAACACACAUGGAAGGUGCGUGGUUUCGCUCACCACCUGUAAUUGUAAGGAACAUAAUGCGACUGUGGCCUAAAACAUUUUCCUUUUAACUUUUUAUUUUGUUCAACCAUUAUAAAAAAAGAAUACAACAGAGUUCUCCUGAAUCCUGAUAUGUAUAAGUUCUAAGGUGUAUAAUUUUGAUAUGUGGCCGAAAAAAAUUUUUCUUUUAAUUUUUUAGAAAAAAAAUUACCAUGCAUCACAGAAAAGCAUAAUAUAUAAGGUUCGCUUGAUCUGAAAGAUUGAUUUCGUAAAAAGUCUAGCUCAUAUAGAAGAACAUACUAGAAAAUUAUAGUUUAAAUUAAGACUCUUGAUCUGCACACUUAACUUUUUCAUUCUUAUAUUAUGUUUUUUAGCUAUUCUAAAAUUGAGAUUUAGUUAGUAAGAGAUUUUAUACAAUAUAAAAUGUAUGAUUCAAAUAUAGCAUUCACCAUACAGUUUGUUAUUAAUUGCAUUAUUCAUUAAUUUGAGCUUUUCAUGAGCAAAGGCAAUUUCAUUUUUUUUAUUUAUGACUCUAUGAUGGCUAAGAGCUUUCAUAGUUUGCCUGUAAAUUAAGACAUAAUUUACAAAUGUAUAUGCAUAAAUAAAAGUAAAAAUGUUUGUACAUGUACUAGCUUUUUAGCUAAAAAAAAAGAAAGAUAUAAUCUAUUUGAUUGAGCAUUUGCCAUUUCACCUGGAACUUCAACAUUCAUGUAUCAAGGAUACGAAUGUGCUCAAGGAUCUCCAACAAUGAAAGGAGAAGUUAUGGCUAUUAGGUAUUAGCUAGGAUUCUUUAUGGCAAAUGUAAGUCCAAAGUUAAAUGCAUAUUAAACUUAACUCCAACUGCAGUACAAUUUGGACAAAUAAUUUCUUAAAGAUCGAUUGUGAUGGCUUUUUGUAUAUGAAGUCGCUAGAAUUGCCUUAUAAGAGAGCAGACCUAAAUCUUGUGAGUGGGGAUUAGAUCCUCCACCAUUCAAUUUCUAACUUAUCAUCAAGGACGAUAUUAAAAAAAAUCAACACUAAUUGACAAAAAUCCUUAGUGGUGGUUUUUUUUUUUUUUUUUUUUGGUGGAGAAUAUAACUUACACUUACUAUCAUAAAGAAAUAAAUAUAAUUGACUACUAUCAUACCUUUUUUUUAAGGAACACAAUUAUAUAGGGGGCGGUAAGGAAAAAAUCUUAAAAUUGAUGUAAUUUACACUCACUAUCGUUAAGAAAUUGAUAUAAUUGACUAUAUCUUACUUAUUUUAAGUAAGUAAUAUACUUUUAAGUUUAAAAGGACAAUAUUUUACUGUCCUUAUCAAAUCAAUUUCUCUAGUGUUUAAAAAUUAUUUGAAGCGAAAUGUGGUGAACUUUUUUCUACUGCAUUGCUUAUGAUGUAUAUUGUAGUUACCCACCUUUUUUUAUAUUGAGUCUUAUACAUUACUUACAAAAUACAACUUAUAUUGAAUAAAGUUUUUAGAUUGUAAAAAUAAGGAAUAGACGAGAUCCUUUUUUGCUACAUAGCUGUCUUUUGUCUAUCAUUUUUCUUUCCCCACCCCCUUCAAGGCCCUGCUGCCUCAUCCAUAUAGCUUAAUUUGUUCGUUUAUUAAACGAAAUGAAUAGCGUGCUACACUUUCCUCAAAAAAAAAAAAAGGAAAAAAGAAAUGGAAAAAAGGAAAGGAUGCAAAGUUUUUUUUUUUUUUUUGAAGGAGAUCUUUCAAAUAUUGUUGAAUGAAGCUAAAAGAGGAGGUGAACGUACCACUGUGGUGAGAGAAUCAAACUUUAGAAAUAUAUAACAUGGGAGAAGAAAAGGGUAACCCUUUUCUCUCUCUACGUCGUACACCCAUCACCAUCAACCCUCUGACAGAGAUUACAUGCAAAAGCCAAGAUAGCAGCGACAAGAGAGAGAGAGAGAGAGAGAGAGAAUUAUCCUCUCAAAACCAACCAUUUUUUAUAAUUAAACUGUUAAGUACAGCCCCUCCAACUUCUCAUUAUGACUUAACAUCUCUUCUUUAUUUCUUUCCUUUUCUCUAAUCUAAUUACAUGCAUGAUCAUAAAAAUCCUUCAACUCCCUCCCUAUCUAGAUCUCUCUCUCUCUCUCUCUCUCUCUCUCUACCUGUGUGUGUGUGUGUGUUAGCAAUAACUAGAAAGGGAGAGACAAUUAUCAUCUUAAACGCAACCAUUUUUCAUAAUUACAAGUUAAUUAAUGUUAAGUACACCCUUCCAACCCCUCAUUAUGACCUAAUCUUAUUAUGUAUGAACAUAAAAAGCCUUCAACUACUCUCUCUCUCUCUCUCUUUCUCUCUAGUUUCUCUGACUAACAAAACCACCACAGCCACUACUUCCCCUAUAGGGAGAAGCUCCAAAGCAUGGCAUAGCUUUCACAGUCCCACCACAAAAAGGGUAGCGCUUUUCCUUUACCACAUAUACACCACAACAGUAACAGUAAUCACAUAUAACAACAACAACAACAACAACAAAGAAGCAAACCCAAACUCCAAACACCUUCUCUCUCUCCCCUUUAUAUCCAACCCCCACUUCCCAUUGCCUUUUAAAUCCCCCCCCUCUCCACCUCCAAAUCCCCUCAACUCACUCAUCACCCAUCCAUAUUCCAUACCCCAAAAGAGAAGCAAAAAUAUAUAUAUAAAAGAAGGAGAAGAAGAAGCUAGAGAGAGAGAGAGAGAGAGAGAGAGAGAGAGAAACUGAGAAACCCACAACUUCCACUUGUUGGGUACUCUCUCUCCCCCUCCUUUCUUUGUCCCUCCUCUCCAUUACUUGGUCUUCUCUCUCUCUCUCUCUCUCUCUCUCUCUCUCUCUCUCUCUCUCUCUCUCUCUGUGAUCUAAAACUUUGUUUCUCUUUGUACACCACCCAGUAUUUGAUGGGAAGAUGAUGAACCGCGCCAACCCCAACGACCCCUACGUCCCCUCCAUGAUGAUGUCCUUCGUUGGCCUCGACCCCAACCCCAACCCUAACCCUAACCCUACUAACCCCACCCCUCAAAGACUCCACCUUUCCGACCCUUGGGACCCCUCCCCCUCCUCCGCCGCCUUCUUCCCCAACUCCGGCGUCGGCGGCGGCGUCACCUUCCUCGACUACCCACCGCCCCCUCUCCUCCCCUUCAACACCACCACCGCCGCCGCCGCCGCCAACAUUAACGCCAACCCCAACUCCCCCUUCUACCCCACUUCCCCGACGCACGACUACCCGCCCUCGGCGGGCCUCGUGAAGCGCGAGGCCGACGCCGCCGCCCUCCUCCGCCCCGCCAUCGGCCUCAACCUCGGCCACCGCACCUACUUCCCCUCCGGCGGCGAUUCCGCCGCCGUCGCCAUCGACCGCCUCUUCUCCGCCCGCCCGCCCGCCCACGCCGUCCCGAGAGGCCUGCUGUACGCCCUCGGCGGUCUCGGCGGGAGUGGCGCGCACAACCCCGGCUACCAGCACUAUCACCACCACCACCAUCACCACCAGCCCCCCCGCUGCCAGGCCGAGGGCUGCGGCGCCGACCUCUCCGGCGCCAAGCACUACCACCGCCGCCACAAGGUCUGCGAAUUCCACUCCAAGGCCGCCGUCGUCGCCGCCAAGGGACUGCAGCAGCGCUUCUGCCAGCAGUGCAGCAGGUACCUAAAGUCGAAAUUAAAGAAUCAUAUAUAUUAACAUCAUCUUAUCCUAAUCCCAGUUUUAGUAUUUUGUUCUUACUUACUUUCUAUCAUUUUCUUUCUUUUUUUUUUUUUUAGAGAAUAACGAUUGUUUCAUAUAAUUUAAUAUAGUAUAAAAAUAUAAGAUUAAUUCUGUGUUCGAGUCACGUGAGAUUCCUAAUAUUAUUAAUUUUCUCUUAUUUGAUUCAAAUUCACGUCAUGUAUAUGUAUUUGACAACCGGUCUCUAAUCCGGACGUGAGAAAGAGUGUUAAAUGUAAAAUUAUUUAAAUAUUAUUUUUUUAUCAAUUUAAGUUUUUAAAAAAUAGCUAUUGUUUCGCAUAAUUUAAUAAUUUUGUUGUUUUUUUAUAUAUAAAAUUUUUGGAGGACAGUGUGGAGUUUCUCUAGAGAGCUAGAGAACCCCCGUGUGAUAGUUUGCUCUAUAUAUGAGUGUUGUUUUGGUGUAUAAAUAUAUUAAAGUAACACAACAAGAGAUUCUAUGUUCAAAAGAAAAAUUAACUACUUGUUUAAUGCAAAAUCUAUGUUUUAGCGCUACAAAAGCUUUCCAGCUGAGGAGAGAGCACAUUAAAUUGGGCCGUGAUUAAAUGACUAUUUUUAAUGGUUGUAGCUAUUAUUAUAUAAUAUAUCUAGAAAAACAAACAGGGCCUUACUAUGUAUGGGGACCCUUGGAUCACUUCCCUUCUUAGGCCAUUCACACCCAGCUUUGUUCUUUACUGAAUGCUUUAUAUAUAAUAUAUAUAUAUAUAUAUAUAUAUAUAUAUAUAUAUAUAUAUAUAUAUAUAUAUAUAUAUNAUGUAUGGGGACCCUUGGAUCACUUCCCUUCUUAGGCCAUUCACACCCAGCUUUGUUCUUUACUGAAUGCUUUAUAUAUAUAUAUAUAUAUAUAUAUAUAUAUAUAUAUAGAAUUGAACUCUUAUGUUUACCAUAGCUAUGGACUCUAUAUAUAUAUAUUAUAUAUAUAUAUGUAUGUAGAGGGAACACUAUUUGUUAUUUUAAGUACGAAUCACUUUCUCUCUUAAAUGAUAACUUAGUAUGUUUGUUUUUGUUCUCACCCUUGUUAUUAAAAGCUUCUGUCUCUCUGGAAACAGUAGUAGGAGAAAGAGCAGCAGAUCAGAGCCUCUGCCCCGCAUACUUGUGAACAUAUCUGUUACUUAUGGCUAUCACAUCUUUAUUGUGUUUUGUUCUCUCUCUCUCUCUCUCUCUCUCUCUCUCUCUCUCUCUCUUUGUGAUUGGAGAUAACCCAGACCCCAGUAGUAUAUCACUGACACACACACACACCCUAGCUGCAAAACCCAAUGCUAUAUAGCUAGCUUUUUCCCUUGUGAUAGAACAUAAAUCGAUCAACAGAAAUUAUUGCAACUGGUGCAUCAUAUAUAUAUAUUUUGCACUCCUAAAGUUGAUUAUAAAAACCACCAAAAUCAAAAUUUAAUUUUAUUACAUAUCCUUCAUAUGUGGCAUGUAAAGACAUAAUUUUUAAAGUAUUAUGUAUUAUUAAAAGUACACAUGUGGUCUAUGAUGCAAUUGGUGCGCCCAAUAAGUUUUCUAUGAAUUCACCAACCAUAGGGUUUCUUCUUUUCUAUGUGCAUCUCCCUUUACUUCUUUCCUGCUAACCUUUGGGCUUUUAUGACUGUAACCUGCUCCUAUUCUCUGCAGCUCCCACUGUUAAAUAAAAGAUAUAUAUAUAUAUAUAUACCCACUACAUACAUAUUACAUAUUUAUCUCUCCUCUCUCUAGCUAGUUUCUGGCCACUUCCCUUCUUUUACAGUCAUAUAUAUGGUAAGUAGGGGCAUUUUUCCUACUCAGCCCUAUAUAAAAAGAUAUAUGUGUAAUUAUUAUUAUUAUUAUUAUUAUUAUUAUUAUUUGUGGUUAGGUUCUAAUGAAUUAAUCAUAUAUAUAUAUAGUUUUACUUUUAAUGGUGUACAUGCAUGUAGGUUCCAUGUGCUCUCCGAGUUUGAUGAAGCCAAAAGGAGCUGUAGGAAGCGCUUAGCUGACCACAACCGCAGGAGGAGGAAGCCACAGGGAUCAACUCAAUCCACAGACUCUUCAAACCAAAAGAACAGCAACUGCAGCAGCUCACAGAAGAGCAAGCAAAGCACAAAGCCCACUAGAGACACUAGUAGUGAGUUUGAUCUUAAUUACUUCCUUUUUCGCGAAAUAGUUUUUCUCUAAAAGCUUAAACUACGCACUAGGCGAAGAGUUAGGGAAUUUCAUUAAUUAGGCACACAAAACAUAGACUUUUGAUUUAAAGUUUGUGUUAUUAUGUCAUCUAUAUACAGCAAUCACCACCAAGUCAACUACCACCAUAUCCAAUGCAAGUGUAAGCUUGGAGGGCCAAAACAAAGGGACUCAUUACAGGAAUGGACCAGCUUUAUCUCUUGGAGGAGUUGGAGUUGGAGUUGGAGUUGGAGUUGGAGUACUUGCAAUGGAGAGUAAGGGAGGGAAUAACAUGGACUCUGAUUUUAUGUACCAACAAAGCCAAGGGCUACACUAUGCUUCAUUUGUAGAGGAGAAGGUCUCCGAAGACGAAGAAGAAGACGACGACGAAGAAGAAGAAGAAGAGCAGCGCCACCACCAAGAGAUAUUGCAUCCUUUCUCCUCUGCGGAGUCCACCAACAACAACACCUUCUUCCACCACCACAACCUCUUCUCCUCCGCCGCCGCCGCCGCCGCCGCCGCCUCUGCCGAUGGCUCCCACUCAACCACGGAGGGCGGUGGCGGUGGCGACACGGCCACCGCCACCCUACACCAUCACCACCACCACCACAACCACCACCAAGGCCUCCACCUAGGGCAAGCCAUGUUUGAGGUGGACUUCAUGUGAUCAUCAUGUUAAUGAAGGAUAAGGAGAAAGAAAUUAAGGGUAAAAAGUUAAUGUACUAAUUAAGAGUUACCUCCCAACUAUGUUCUAUUUUGAAAUGUGCCCCUCAUCUUUAUUUAUUAUUAUUGUUAUUAUUUUCUCUAGUAUUCCUUUAACUUUGAGUUAUUCAGCUGGUCAACUAAAUUAAAAAUUUUAUUAAAUUUGAUGGCUUUAUUUAUUAGAUAAGUACUGAAAAGUGUUAAAAGCUUUCAUUAAUGUAUAAGUUAGUAAAAUUGCUAAUUUAUUCGACUAAAAUUAUUCAAAUUGUAGAUAUUAAAAGUUAAGAGCGCAUUGAUGAAGAAAUAAAAUAAAAUAAAAUUGAGGAGCUCAUUUUAAAGCUUCCUAGAGUUGAGGGGGGCUCCAUACAAUUUAACCAAAAGAAAACGUGUGGAGUGAUAUAUAUAUAUAUAUAUAUAUAUAGAGAGAGAGAGAGAGAGAGAGAGUAGGGAAGAUUGAGUUAUGAUAUACUUUAGAAGUAGCUAAUAUCUUUGUGCUUCUAAGUUUAAUAGCCCUUGAAUCUACUCCUUAAUUACUAAUAACCCCUUGAAUCAAACACUAUCCACCUACACACCAACCACCACCACUAUCAUCAACAACUACACUUCUCUAAUCCAAUAGUUAAAAACUCAAAAGCAACCACCCCCAUUGAUGCUUGAGAGUAUUCUAGCUCCAAUCUCUCUCUCUAGAGAAGAGAAGAGAGAGAAGAGAGAGAUAUAUACAUAUAUAAGAAGAGAGAGAGAGAGAGAGAGUUGAGCUAGAAUACUCUCAAAAGCACCAAGGGAUGAUGUUUUUGAGUUUUUAACCAUUGGAUGGAGAGAUGUAAGGUUGAGAUGAUGGUGGUAAGUGGUAGUAGGUGAAAUAGUAUUUGAUUUAAGGAUUAUUAGUAAUUAAUUAUAAUUAAGGAGUAAAUCCAAAGGUAGAAACUUAGUAGCACUUAAUAGUUGAAUGCAACCAAACAAAUUUUCAACUGCAUGCAACCAAACAAAUUAUUUCUAGUUGUAGUGCUUUCUACUACUUCCAACCAAACAUCAUGCAUAUAGUCGCAACUGCUAUAUUUCUAACUACAUGCACCUCUAAGGUUCGGUUUGGUUCGGGGAUAAAGCGUGGAUAAUGAAAGUUAUCCCCUCUAUUCCGCUAAACGAGAUAUUUUUUCACCGAUAUAUUUUAUUCCGGUCAAACCUUGUUAUUCCUAGCUAUUUCGGAAUAGCUUGAGAUUUACUAUUCCACCAUUUUGACAAAAUAAUACUAUUUCAAGAUUUAAUUUCAAAUUUUAUUAAAAUUAUAAAUUGAAUUAAAAUUAAAUUAUAUAGAUUUAAUAUGUUAUAUAUUAUAAUAUGUCAAUUUUAUUAUAAAAUUUUUAAUUGUACUAUAUAAAUAUUAUCUAUAUGUAAAUAUUAUAAUAAAUUUUAUAAUAAAUUAUAUUUAAAUAUUAUAAUAAAUCAUUUUUAUUAAAUCAUAAUAAAUUAUUUUUACAAUAAUUAUUUUUAUAAAAAUUAUUUAUAUUAAAUUAUAUUUUUUAUCAAAUUUAAAUAAUUGUUUUUUUUUACUACCCUCUACUAUUUCAUAAAAUUAACCAAACAUAAUUUUAAUUAUUUUUAGAAAUACCAGCAUUACAAACCAAACAUAAUUUUAUUUUUAUUCCUGACUAUUCCAGUAUAGCAAGCAAUUUCAGGGAUAAAAAAAUUUAUCCCAAUGUUCGUUAUUCCCAAACCAAACGGGGCCUAACUAUACUGCAUUUGUAAUUUCAUCAAACCAAACGGCCCCUUAGUGUUUGUAAGAUUUUCGUCGUUUGAUCAACCCCGUUAACCAUUUUUAUCUGUUAAAUCAUACCAUUCAACCAAUUACUCACUCAAUCCUAAAGAACGACUAUCGCCCUAAACGCAUAUCUCUUAAUCCAAAGAUCGAAAACAUACAAGCACCGUGACUUAGUACUUUCAAAGUCAAAGGAGUUUAAGUAAAUUAUUGGGCUCAAUCCAACUCAACUUACUAGCUAGUUACCUAAAUCUAUUAUCCCCGCGUUACAUCUAUUUUAACCAAUAAUUAAUAGUCAAUAAAUAGUUGUGGACAAUUUUCAGCUUUUUGGCUCGUAUAAUUAAAACUUAAAAUUAAUUGUGGACACACCUUCCUUUGACCACGAAACUGGUUCCACUGACCAAAUUGUGCAUCAGUUUGUCAGGAAACAGUUCAUCAGUUUGUCUUUAAAAAAAAAAAAAAAAAUUCUGAAAAUUUGGUUCAGAUGUGUUCCCCAAAAGAACCAUCAAUUCAUUAAGCAGUACUCAUGCUUUGUUCUUAUUUACUGUUCUUCUGUAAUAAUUUUAUGGUAACACUAAUUACUAAUAGAGUACGGCUUGUAUACUUUUAGAAGCACGAAAACAUCCGUGCUAUACUUUUGAAAAUAUAAAAAAGUUGGUGCUUUCGAUCUUUUUACUUUUGGAUCAAGAACCAUACGUAGAAUUAGAAUAAUAAUGAUCCUUCUUAGGGUUGAGUGAUCUCCUUAGUAUUUAGUAGCCCUCUAGAAUAAUAAUAUUACUCCAUAGACUAGAAAUGAUCAAAGAGUUUGAUUCAAGGCUUAAAAAUUUGAAAGCACCAACAACUUUUUUAUACUUUCAGAAGCGCCAUAGUUGGACUCUCUCUCUCUCUCUCUCUCUCUCUCUCUCUCUCUCUCUCUAUAUAUAUAUAUAUAGUCUGGUUGCAAUACUAUUAAUAAUAUCAAAUGCUUAGUGCUAUCAAAUUUUUUGCCGUUAAAUUUAUUUCUUUGACCAUUUUCACCUGUUAGAUCAUACUAUUCAACUAACUAUCUGUGAGAUCAUCCGGCAUAUUUUUUCAUCUAAAUAUCGAAAAUCUAAUAGCACUAAUAACUUUGUGUUAUUUUUAUUUUUCUAACCUAAUUCUAUAUAUGUGUGUAUGCAUUAUUAUAAAGUGUUGUACUAUGAAAGGGACGUUGAUAGAGAAAGAGCUACAGUGUGGGGCCUCACACCAUAAAAUUAAACCAGUUCGCCAUCUGGUGAGGAGGAAGUAUCAUAAUACAGAAAUUUAUUCAGUACAAUAUGCAUGGUAGGAGAUGUGGCCACAAAUAAGCUCGCAUCUUAAAGCAUUCUUUUCAAACACUAGUGUGAGGCAGAGUUGUUUUUUUUUCUCCUCGUGCGCCUAAGAGAGAGAGCUCAAAAUUUUAGAAAUAUUUUUUUUUAUUUUUAUUUUUUAAUAUAUUCACAAUAUAUUUUUUUAUUAUUUUAAAAUAUUUCUGCAGUUACUAUCCGUUAAGUUAACUUGGGUUAAACGUCAGUUAAAUAUCUAUUAGAGUUAAAAAAAAAAUCAAGCAAAUAAAAAAUAUUGGUGAUGGUAGAAAGUUAUAUUUGAAAAGAUCAAAAAUCAAAACACUUUUUGUACCCCUAGAGCAAAUAAAAAAAGUCGGUAAUAAUGGUGGAAGUGUAUAUUUGAAAGAGCAAAAUAGUAAUUUCAUACAGAUAACAGUUAUUAUUUACAGUUCAUUAAUAGAAUUUAACGCACUAGGGGUAUAUUUGAAAUAGAUUGGAACGUAAAAUUUUUUUUUUUAAUAUUAGCCUUCUAAGAGAAAUAAAUCAGAAAGUCGAAAAUUUUAUAGAAAUAUAUAAACAAUUAUCCCAAUAGAAAAAUAUUAAGUUAAAGAUCCAAAAGAAGUCAAAAUCCAACAUCGCUCCAUCAUUUACGAUUUUGAUAUAAUAAAAAAAAAAGAAGAGAAUCAAUAAGAGUAGUGUAAUGGCAUAUAUAGUUAAUCGUAUUAAUUUCAUCCCACAUUUUGCCUGUCUCAAAUGUGCCAAAAAAUUUUACAUAACUAAUUAAUUUGGCUAUGAAAAUUUUUAUAGGAUUAUUUAGAGCUAGGCUUGUAUAUGCUUUUAGAAGCCUGGUGAUCUCUGUGCUAUCAAGUCGUUUUUGAUACUGAAAUUUCCGAAUCGACAAUUUAUUUUGUUAGACUUAAUUUAAAGUAUUUAAAAAAUAAAUUUCAUAAUUUUUCAAUAUCAUUUACCUAAUUAUUGAAGAGGCCGAAAAUCAAUAAUUUUAAUGAUCGUGGUGAAACAUUUGCAAGUUUAAUGAUUUAGAAAAAUGAAAAUCAUAUAAUAUUUUGAUAGAAAAUUUAUUAUACUACAUAAAAUAAAAUCAAUAUUUUUGAUCUAAAAUUUUUGUAUCAUAUUAUCACUUUUUAUAAGAUUUUUUUAUUUUUAGCUAUUAAUUUUGAGUCAUUUCAAUCGCUAAGUAAAUGAUAUUGAAAAAUCACGAAAUUAAUUUUUCUAGAUACUUUCAAUAUUCUAUAUCAAGUCUAACGAAACCGACCGUUGAUUUAAAAUUCAAGUAUUAAGAGCGACUUGAUAUGCACCUCAAAACCAACUUAAAAAAAAAAAAAAAAAAAUCUUUCGUGCAUAGUCCUCUAAAAUUUGACGAGGGUACGUAAAAAUAAAGAUAAACUUUAAAUACCACCUCUAUAGUUUUGUACUUUCUCACUUUAGUACCAUGUGGUUUAAAGUGUAUCAAUUUAGUACCCCAUAGUUUCAUUUUUAUCUUUUCGUCAGCUUUUUCGUUAAUAUUUCGUUAAAUUAUAUACAAAAAACUUCAAAUACCUAUCCGGUGAUUUCACACUUUCUCACAUUAGUACCCUAUGGUUUAAAGUGUAUUAAUUUAGUAUCAUGUGGUUUAUUUUAACUUUUUAUUAUUGAUUCCACUAAUUUUUUUCGUUAAAUCAGUGACAAAGUUAAAAUUAAGAGAUACUAAAGUGAAUAUUCGAUAAACCUAGGUAGGGUAUUUGAAGUUUCCUUAAUAAUAGAAAAAACUUCAAAAACCACCCUUGUGGUUUCACACUUUCUCACAUUAGUACCCUAUGGUUUAAAGUGUAUUAAUUUAGUAUCAUGUGGUUUAUUUUAACUUUUUAUUAUUGAUUCCACUAAUUUUUUUCGUUAAAUCAGUGACAAAGUUAAAAUUAAGAGAUACUAAAGUGAAUAUUCGAUAAACCUAGGUAGGGUAUUUGAAGUUUCCUUAAUAAUAGAAAAAACUUCAAAAACCACCCUUGUGGUUUCACACUUUCUCACAUUAGUACCCUAUGGUUUAAAGUGUAUUAAUUUAGUAUCAUGUGGUUUAUUUUAACUUUUUAUUAUUGAUUCCACUAAUUUUUUUCGUUAAAUCAGUGACAAAGUUAAAAUUAAGAGAUACUAAAGUGAAUAUUCGAUAAACCUAGGUAGGGUAUUUGAAGUUUCCUUAAUAAUAGAAAAAACUUCAAAAACCACCCUUGUGGUUUCACACUUUCUCACAUUAGUACCCUAUGGUUUAAAGUGUAUCAAUUUAGUACCCCAUAGUUUCAUUUUUAUCUUUUCGUCAGCUUUUUCGUUAAUAUUUCGUUAAAUUAUAUACAAAAAAUUUCAAAUACCCCACCUAGGUUUAUCGNUUUGCAAGUUUAAUGAUUUAGAAAAAUGAAAAUCAUAUAAUAUUUUGAUAGAAAAUUUAUUAUACUACAUAAAAUAAAAUCAAUAUUUUUGAUCUAAAAUUUUUGUAUCAUAUUAUCACUUUUUAUAAGAUUUUUUUAUUUUUAGCUAUUAAUUUUGAGUCAUUUCAAUCGCUAAGUAAAUGAUAUUGAAAAAAAAAAAAAAAAAUCUUUCGUGCAUAGUCCUCUAAAAUUUGACGAGGGUACGUAAAAAUAAAGAUAAACUUUAAAUACCACCUCUAUAGUUUUGUACUUUCUCACUUUAGUACCAUGUGGUUUAAAGUGUAUCAAUUUAGCAUCCUAUUUUUUCAUUUUUCUCUUUUUAUCGGUCCCUCCAUUAACUUUUCGUUAAAUCAUAUACCAAAAACUUCAGACACUCUAUUUGUAGGUUAUCGAAUAUUCACUUUAGUGCUCUUUAGUUUUAACUUUGUCACUGAUUUAGCGAAAAAAAAAUUAAUAGAUGGGAUAACAAAAAGCGAAAAAUAAAACAACAGAGUACAAAAAUGAUACACUUUAAAGCACAUAGUACUAAAGUGAGAAAGUGCGAAACUAAAGGAAUGGUAUUUGAAGUUUUUCCUAAAAUUAAAUUUCGUGCUCCAUCUGGCCCAAUUCGAAAGCGACAACGCCCACGGCUAAAUUUUGGGCCUCGUGGGCCGGCCUACUAUCCACGCUCUCAUUCGUCAUACAUUUUAGGAGCAAUUGUUUAUAUAUCUCUGAAAAGUUUUAGACCUUUUAAUUUAUAUUUUUAGAAGACUAAUACUGAAAAUACUUUUUUUACGUUUCAACGUAUGUCAAAUAUAUCUCUAAAGUUAAAUUCUGUUAAUAAACGGUUAGCAAUAGCUGUUAUUUGUAUAAAAUUACUAUUUUGUCAUUUCAAAUAUACUCUUCUACGAUCACCUACUUUUUCUUAUUUGCCCUUAAGUUGGCACAAAAAGUAUUUUAAUUUUUGUUAUCUUUUCAAAUAUACCUUUUUAUCAUCAUCAAUAUUUUUUAUUUGUCCUUAAGUUAAGGGUAAAAGAGGUAUUUUAAUUUUUUUAAACUCUGAUAGAUAUUUAACUCACGUUUAAUUUUAGGGAUAUUUUGGAAUAACGGAGGAACAUAUAAGGGGUAUAUUGGAAAGAAAAAAAAAAGUGAGGAUAAAUGAGAUAUUUUCGAAGUUUUGAGAAGUAUAUAGGCAAUUAUUUGUAGAUUUAACGGUAAAUUUCAAAUACCACCCAUGUGGUUUCACACUUUCUCACUUUAGUACCUUGUCGUUUAAAAUAUAUCAAGUUAGUACCCUGUGGUUUUAUUUUUAUCUAUUCAUCAGCUUCUUCAUUAAUAUUUUAUUAAAUUAUAUACAAAAAAUUUCAAAUACCCCACCUAGGUUUAUCGAAUAUUCACUUUAGUAUCUCUUUGUUUUAGUUUUGUUACUGAAUUAAUAAAAAAAAUUAAUGGAAUUGAUAAUAAGAAGAGAAAAAUAAAACCACACGGUACCAAAUUGAUACACUUUAAAUCACAAAGUAGUAAAGUGAGAAAGUGCGAAACCAUAAGAAUGGUAUUUGAAGUUUUUACUAUAAUUUAUAUUGAUCGUUUCUAAAGUAAGUGACAAGAAUUUUCAAUUUUAAGUCUGUUUGGUUUUACAAAAAAGUGUAAAAAAUUUGUUUGAGAAAAAAAAAAUUUCAUAGGUAACCACUUUUUAAGUUUGCUGCCUAUUGGAUCUGAAGAAAAUGACCUUUUUUUUAAAGAUUUUUUUUUUCAAAUUUUGUGCAAAACUACUGGUUUUGUUUUCUAAUUUUUUUUUUUUUUAAGGAAAGCGAGAAAAAUUAUUUUUCAUAAGAUCCGAAAAAAAAAAAAAAAAGCUUUGCAAAGUAACUAUUUUUUUUUUUUGGGAUAACUUUUAAAACUCCCUCUGUAGUUUUGCAACUUCUAUGUGUGUAUCUGAAAGUUUUUUGUAUAUAAUUUAACGAAAUAUUAAAAAAAAGUUUGCCGAAAAAAUAAAAACAAAACAACCGGAGGACAAAUUGAUACACUUUAAAUUAUAGGAUACCAAAGUAAGAAAGAAACUAUAGGGGUUUUUUCGAAGUUUUUCUUUUUUUUUUUGAAAGCUAAACAGGUGAAAAGUUUUUUAAAGAAUUGGCCUAUAUUCGAGGGGUCUAGGUGCAUUUUUACCAAAAAGCUUCGGGAGCUCGCCCACUCUCACUCCCCGCACCAUUCCAUGAGCUCGGAUAAUAAUCCCCUCGAUCGAUCUCGUCCUCACCCUCUCCACCGAAACCCUAACGAAACCCUAAUCGCUCUCCGAAGCUCGGCUGCGGCGGCGGAGGAGGAGGGAGGGAUCCGAGCCCUCCUCUCGACCUUGGGGGCGCUCAUGGCGGCGGAGAUCCCGAUCGGCCGCGUCGCCCUCCGCCACCUCGUGCGGUUCCUCGCCGCCGUUCUCUACUUCCACUCCUCCGAGUACGCCCUCGCCGUCGCCUUCCAUGGCCGCUUCAACGUUUCCCCUGCUUGUGAGCUCUAAUUUCGAUACUGUUUCGUAUUGCAGUGUGUUCAAAUUUGAGGUUUAUCUUUUGUUUUGAUCUAUCCUGUUUCAAAUGUUGAAGGGUGAAUGAGAGCAUUAAAUUUGAGUAUUUUUGGUGGUUGGUCGGUGAGAUUUGUGCAAUUUGAGAAUUGGAGCAUUUCACAGUUUCUUUGAUGAAACCAAAUAUUUUUAUUUGUUCUGAGUUCUUUUCAUCAUUGAAUAUUGUCGAGUUACAGAUAAUUAUUGUAAAAGGUAAGGUUUCUACAGGGAUAUUGCAUCAGAUGCUAGAAUUUUUGGGGAAAAGAAGCUUAAAUUGUACAAGAAUAUGUAUUUAAUUUUCUAAAUCUAGGUAACCUAAGCAAUGGAUGACUUAAUUUUAUGCUGCAUUGAGGAACGAAACAUAAAAAUGUAGUUGUUGGGGACCAAAUCGGAGACCCCUGGUGCAACUUACCCUUUAAUUUACUAUGCGCUGUCCUAAAUAUUUAUGUCAAAAGUUCAAAUUUUAAUACUAAUGUUUCUUUUGCAGCACUUCUGAUCAGCAAACAGUAUAUUGCUGCGAUGAGUUGUGCGGUGCUUGAAUAUGUGAUAGAGAUUCUUCUCUUUCCCUCCUUGAAGGAGUAUUGGUGGGUCAGCAAUUUCGGCAUCGUGAUGAUUAUCGUCGGGGAGAUCAUCCGUAAAGCUGCUGUUCUAACAGCCGGUCGUUCCUUCACACACACCAUCAGGAUUUAUUACGAAGAUCAUCAUGAGCUGAUUACUCAUGGAAUUUAUAGGUAAUGAUCAUUCACCUGAUUUACUUAAUGAUUUAGAUCAUUCUGAAGCUGAGUUUUGAGCUAAUGUUUAAAGGAAAAUUGAGAAUUUAUUGGACAGAAUGCUAAACAUUUAGUUUGCAAAUACCAAUUUUUGACUCUUUGUUCUGCAGCUUUAGUACAUACCAGAACAAACACAUCUUGGUAAUUUAAUGUACCUAAAGUUGUUUAUCUAGGCAAUUCAAAUUGGUAAAAAUACUGUGACCCUCUUAACUGUAGUAAAUUUUAAAUUUAGAAUUUAGACCCUUUAACCUUUUUUUUUUUCUCUUUUCCGGGGUGGGGGUGGGUUGCGAACCCUAAAUUUUUGUUAUUAUUAUUAUUAUUAUUAUCAUCUUUUCUACUCGAGUCAUUUCGGUCAGUAGAAUUGCCGAUUAUGGUAAGUUUAAUGAUUUCAUUAGCUAUUAUUUUGUAAUAUUUAGUGGAACCUACUGUUUCAUAUGAUUAAUGGCGAUUAGAGUAGUAGAUUUUAACUAAUCAUCCGAAUUAAACAUAACUGCUGAUUUUACUGACAUAAGGAACUCAAAAGUGAAAGAUCAAAAGUUGAGAAGGUGUCAAUCAGAAGAAGUAAAGCUCCUUAGUUGAUUCUUAAUAGAAAGUUUCCUCAUUUUCUCGUGUCUUCCGACUCUUCAUAACCAGCCCAGCGUACUUUUGCUAGCUGUCAUAGCCAUUUUAUUCUAAAAUGCCCUUUUUUUCAUCAAACCGUACGUAAAUCUGGAUUAGCUAGAAACAAUUCUGACGGGGUUUUAUUCUAGAUCUUAAUCAAAUUGCUGGUAUUUCUUUAAUUUAUUGUGGUCUAUUGGUGUUGUCACGCAUAUUGGUGUUGGAAUGUCCUUGCUGUUGAUUUCUAUCAUUUCUUGUGGUCUAUGAUAUCACAUUUUGAUGUAUUUGUUAGCUCUUUAGGUGAAUCUAGUGGAAGAAAACUUAUCAAACCCUAUAAUCCUAUGUAAAUUCUAAUAUUCUCGGGGUACAAUGCAUAAAUUUUCUACAUUUUGGCCAAUCUUGUAACUGUACUAAUCUUUGCUUUCUAAUUAAGCAGAUUCAUGCGGCAUCCUGGUUAUUGCGGCUUCUUCAUCUGGGCAACUGGAACCCAGGUUAUGCUCUGCAACCCGGUCUGCUUCAUCGCCUUCGUCUUGGUCUUAUGGAGAUUCUUCUCUAGACGGAUACCGUAUCCUCUUAACACUAUGAUUUUGCGAUGUCAUUUACCUCAUCCUAUGAGGAGAUUCAUUCUAUUUAAAGCUCUUUGCCUGACGAUGAAACAAAGGUUAAUUUUCCGUUUCCCUUCCUCAUAGUUCAGUUCUUCGAGCUUGCUAAUCCUUUACUAAGUUACAGUUAUGAGGAGUAUUUCCUGAGGCAGUUCUUCGGACGCCAGUAUGUGGAAUACGCACGCAGAGUGCCGUCUGGCAUCCCUUUCGUAAGAUGAUAGUCUUGCUGAUUGUGUAAGUAUAUACGCGAAAUCCUAUUUGGUAUUCAGGACUUCUUUGGCGAAGCCGGAGCUUGUAGAAGUAUUGUUUGUCUAAAGCUGCUUGUACAAAGCCUACCGUAUGUCAUCAUUUUGCGUAAUACCGAACUGAAACAUCCCAUUCACCGACAGGUAAAAUAUUACCUGGCUCAACAAUGCGACAUGCAUGGGGUGGCUGCGUCAAUCCAUUGGCCAGAAGGGUUAUCAAACUUGCGCUCUUUAUGCAAAUUUGAUUACGAAGAAAUGGCGCCGCCAUGUGUAAAUUGAAGGAAUAAAGGACAUAGCAUUCCACUUGAUCAUUUGGUUGGCGCAACUGGAGAGCACUGCAAAUAACAGAGCCAUGGCCACAAAGAAAGAGAUGUAGCAUAUACUAUGCUUCAGGCUUAUUUGCAUUUGAUGCUUCAUAACUUUUAAACAAUUUGAUGUGUUUCAAAAAAAAUUGUAGGACAUUUUGGAGAUCUUUGAUCAAAUUAUCCCCGAGUUGGCCAUUUUAAUGUUUGGUACAAUGAUGUUGUUGAAAUGCCAGUGUAGAAUAUUGUAGAUCAGUUAGAUUUUUGUUCUGAUAAUAUUGUGAGUUCAUCAAUUGGUCAUUUGGAUUCAUCUGAUGCGCAAAAAGAUUUAGACAUUUGAAUAAUGUUGCUGAUAUCUAUUAAGAUGGAUAUUAUGAAAAGUGAUUCUGUGUUGGAUGAGAGAUUUAAACUUGCAAAGCACUGGAACUGAACUCGAGUUUGAUGCAAUUGGUUAGAUCUGGUUGAAUUCAUCUCGAACCCUAUGCAGUUGGGCUCGAACCGGACGUGUUUUCGGGUUCAUCAGUGGCUCGGAAACCUUAAGGGCGUGUUUGGUCGCUUCUUUUUUACCCUAGAAUCGAAAUCGGAAUGGAUGAAUCUGUUUGUAGGUGUUUGGUAUGCGGGAGUUUCAUUCCGAUUACGAUUUCCGAGUGGAAUAGGAAUUUUCCAAUCAUCUCAUUUUUCAAUCCGGCUUAAAAGGCCGAAUUGAAAGUUGAAUCCAGACGGAAUAGAUAUUUAUUCGGAUUAAAUUUAUUUUUUCAACUUUUUUAAUUAAAAUAUGAGUUAAAAUUUAAAAAUUAAAUAUAUAAUUUUAAAUUUUAAUUUGAACUUAAAUUAAAAAUUUAAAUUUAAUCAAGUAUUUCGAAUCUAACUUAUGAAUUUGAAUUUAAAUUAAAUUUUAAUUUAUAUAAAGUUUUAUUCAAAUUUUAUUUCAAACUUAAAUUAAAUUUAUGGAUUCAAAUUAAAAUUUAAAUUAUAAUUUUAGUUUGAAUUUGAAUAAAUUAAAAUUUAGUUUCAUAAUUUGAAUUAUCCACUCAACUUCAAAGUUGAAUUUUUUUUAAAAAAAAUAGAUUUAAAAUUUUGACAUUAUUUCAAAAUUUUGAUAUAAUUUUUUAAUAUUUAAUUUUUAAUUUGAAUUUAAAUUAAUAUAUUAUAAAGAUAAUGUUAAUAUAUUAAUUUGAUUACGUUUUUUAUAUCCAUCUAAACCAAAUACCGAUAGUGGGAAUGAUUAUUUCGAUUCCAAUUCAGGUGACGAACCAAACAGAAUUAGGUAAUAAGUCAUUCCGAUUCCGAUUCCAGCUUAUUUUGAUUCCGAUUCCAAUUCCAACUCCGACUUCGAACCAAACACGCCCUAAAAGUAACUUCAUUUGAGUUGAAAUGAAUCAAAUUUCAUUUUAUCAUCAAAUGAUGUCAUUAAUGAAUUACUUGCACUUUCAAUCAAAAUUCCCUCGAAAAUUAUUGUGUUGGUUGGCUCAAUUCGACCAUGCACGAAACUGGAUCAAAUCGACAACCAUUUUGAUUUGAGAACCACCGGUUCAUGUGGUGCCAACCCAACCCAACCCAAACCAAGCCAAACCAAUUUGGGUUUUUAGACAUUUUUUUAAGGGUAAAUUGCACCUUCUGCCCUCAAACUUUGAGUCGCGCGAUAUUUUAAUACUAAAAUUUCAAGUCAUUAUAAAUUUUACUUAAAAUUUUAAAUUAUUAUAACUAAAUUUGAUAGUUUAAUUUAUUUAAUUAAAUAUUAAUAGUUUAUUGGUAUAUCAGUACCGUGACAUCUUUAUAAUUAUGAGCGCAUAAUUUGAGAAAGAAGUGCAAUUUAGAAAAAUCCAAAGGGGGUAAAUGUUAAAAUAUCAUAAAAGUCUCUUUUCGCCGAGAUAAAUCGGCAGAGUUCUUCACAAGUCUCUCUCUUCCUUCCCUGAGGAAUUAGUGCAUGAACCUGGUCCACCAUUUAGUUUAUUAUAUGUUAGAGUAGAAAAGAAAUCUGAAUAUUAAAAGCAUAUAAUAAAUGCCAAUUUUCCAUAAACACAUGUUACACAGCCACUAAAUUAUGUAUUUAAAAAUUUUAACAUAUUUAUUAUCAUACACCGGGUGCGGUGUGUGAUGUAAACAUAUGCACCGGGUGCAUGCAUUGAAUGCAUCCUCUCCCCAAUUUUCGAGUUCUAUAAAUAGGCCGAGAAAGUCCCAUGUCUUUUUCGUUCCCUUUUCCAUUUUUUUCACCUAACUUUUUUUUUUUCCAUUUUUUUUUUGCCCAUCGAUUCCUCCGUCGUCGUCUUCCUCACUGCGUUCGCAGCUCCGUCGACUGCGAGAGUAGGAUUAGGGUUAGGGUUUCAACAAGCUCCACGCUCGCCGGUCUCGGGAUCGCCGCGAUGGCGGCGGCGGCGCCACUGCCAUAUGUGGAGUUGUGCAAGGGCAUCAACGGCCUCGAGAAGGUCGUGCUUCGGGAGGUCCGGGGAAGCUCCGCCGAGGUCCUCUCUCUCUCCUCUCUCUCUCUCUCUCUCUCAUGAUCCAUUUUUCCCUCUAAAUCGAUUCAUCUCGUUGUUGUUUGAAUCCUUCAUAGUAUUGGGCUAUUGUAACUGGAUUUGUUAUAGAUCUCAUACUCAUUUUCAUCUGAUCUAAUCAGUUUAAGGAUAUUCCGUAGAAAAAAAAAGUAAUGACUGCUCGAUUCUAGCAAUUGGGAUCGUCCUGAUGUUGAGAAUUAGGGUUCUUUGACCGAGCCAUUAAUCCUUGUUCGAGUCUCCGUCUGGGACACUUCACAUCUGGUGAAAUCGCCGAAGGAGAACAAAUUAGUUUAAAGUUUGAUUUUUUAUGUUUCAACAUGUUUCCUUUUCUUAGAUGUACCUAUAUUCUUUGUGGCAUGCGUUUUCAUGAGAAGGACAGCGAGAAUUGGAUAUUAGUGUGUGGAAACUUGAGGUAUGGAUUUAUAUCGUACUCCAUUAUUGGAUAUUCCACCAUUAGAUUGGUCAAAUGUUUAGCAUGCUGUUCGGCCACUAAUUUGUCAUGAGCGAGGAGAGGUUUUUUCAAAAAAAUUGUAUUUAAAGUUUUAAACAAUAAUAAUUUAGGUGGGGUCCCUAUUUGCCUUCAAUGAGCUGGCUUUGCUUGGUCUUAUCCAUGUUUAGGUUUGACAUUAGCAUUAUCUUUCUCCUUGUGCUAAUUUAACUGCCUGCAUAGUUCUUUUUUCUAUUCACAGUACUUGUUUCUUUCUAAUCUACCAUUUUUUUAAUGUAAGUAUGGCUGAUGCUGCUUACUAUAUUCACCAUUUUUUAAGAAUACAGGUCUUAUCAUCUCCGAGAUGAGAUUUUCCUAUAAAAUAUAGCUAGGUCAUUGAGUUAUCUGAUGUUGGCAAAGUCAAGUGCCAUGAGACUGGCAUAACAUGCUUUAAGGAUAAACGUUAUCUUCUGAUGCUCUCUUCUGUAAAAUAAUUUCUAACGUGACUUCCCAUUUUCUUAAUUUUCCUUAGCUUACCUAGUAAUGAUCGGUUAUUCUUACAUCUUCUUUCGAUGUUUAGGUUCUGCCUCAAAAUUUUUUGGUAGAAACCUUCAAUAACUACACAGCUUUCAUAUCUUUUGAUUACUAGGUGGUGUCAACUGCAUGAAACUAUGGUUUAUCCAUCAUAUGAAUCUUCUUAUGCCAUGUAAUCCUAGUUGGAGCUAUGUGCUCCCCUAAAUUGCAGUGCACAAUUCUUCUCUUAUCACAUCAUGCUGUGCAACAUGUGGAUUAUUAUAUCUCUUUUCGUAUUUAUCAUUUACUUGGAUAAUCUCUUUCUUACAACAAAGUUGUUGCAUCUUCGUGUUCCAUUUAGCUAUAUAAUCUCCACUGUGAUUUACUUAAUAAUUAAUGUAGGUGAUACUAAGAUGAAACACUUAAGAGUACUUUGGCCUCUUGCAUGUUCUUGUUCUUUUUAUUCAGCUGCUGUGGUUCUUGUUAUUGCUGUGUCUGUUCUUGUUUGCUGUUAUUCAUUUCCUCUUAAGGCCUUUUUCUUAGGUGUCCAUUCAUCUUCUUCGUGUAAUAGAUAGCUAAGGUGGUUUGCUUCAUGUUUGCUUGAAAUAGAUAUAAUUGCCCACCAUCCUUAUAAACUUGAAACUGGAAGAACAAUUGCUGUUUGUAUAUUAAAUACUUUUAAGCUUUUGUCCUCUGCUAUUUACACUCUUUCGUUUGCUCACAGGUUUACUUGUAUGGAGGUCAAGUAACAUCUUGGAAAAAUGAAGGGGAGGAGCUACUCUUCAUCAGUAGUAAGGUACCGAAAAUUCUCCUUCAUUCUGAAUAUCAAUGUCAUUGCAUGGGUAUUGUGCGAAGAUGACAUUUUCGAAAUGUUCUCAAGUCAUUUCUUUUUUUUUUUUUUGAGUAAAUAGAGUUACAUUGGUACUCUUAUCUCUGUUUGCAGUAUUGGUUCUGUUUACAUGAAUAUAUUAAGUUUAGACGAUUCGCUGGAGAUGUGCUCUUAGUGAAUAGGUGCUUUAUGUGGUUCACUGUGGUGGCAACUUGAAUUUCUUUCAGAGCCUGUUUGGAUGCCGAAUAUGUUAAGUUAUAACUUGUGUCUUUGGGGUUUCUUAUGGUGAUCGACUUUAGUCCGUUAAAAGGUCCUUAAAAUCAUGAUAUUAAGAUUUUUGCAUUCUACAUAUAUCAUACUCUUAAUAGUUGAGAUUAGUUAUCUUGGAAGUGACGAGAAAAAUUAGAGAGCUUAAUGCACAUUGGUAUUGUUAAUCUUUUUCUUCCCUUCAAUUCAUAUGCUUUUGAAGGCUCCUUGGGAGGGUUUUAACUUAAUUUGCUACUGUGGAUUGUUUUUAUAUUCCCCAUUUAUGGCUUUUCCUGCUCGUAUCCCUGUUUUUUCGCCCUUUAAAAAUGACUUUGCAAACUAACCAAUAAUAACAAGAAUAAAGAAGUUCAUCCCUAGGUGCCUGUAAUCGCAAGGAACUUUUGGAAUGCCAGACACCCUUACUCUUUCACUUUCAAAAUGUAGCCAAUUGCCACCUCGGUAUCAUCAUAUAGCAUCUUGUUGUUACUAGCACUCGCCAUCGAUCUGACUAUACCUUUAGGGGCUGUUUGGCUCUACGUAAAAUUGGGAAAAAGAAAAAUUUCGGUGGCGAAAAUUUUUUUUACAGCUUUUAGUGUUUGGUUCAUAGGAAAAGAAAAAAAAAAGUUUUCAACCUCACUUGUUUGCUUGAAAGGAAUUUUUUUUCUUUUAUUAUAUAUCCUAUAUAUUAUUUAUUAUAUUAAAAUUAUAUAAUAUGAUAAAUUGAUAAGCAUAUAAUAUAAUAUAUGUAAUAAUGUGCAUACAAUGCUAUAUAAUAGAAAUAUAUAAUAUUUAUAAUAAAAAUAUAAAAUAUGUAUAAUAAUUUUUCAUCCUCAUAUAUAUAUAUAUAUAUAUAUAUAUAUAUAUAUAUAUAUAUAUUACUAUAUAGACUUAGGAUGCGUAUACUAUCGGUAGCACGGAGGUCUCCGUGCUACCAAGUUGUUUUCAAUAAUGCGGCUUUUAAAUCGACAAUCAGCUCUGUUAGAUUUGAUCUACACUAUGAAAGUAUUUGGAAACUAAAUUUCAUAAUUUUUCGGUAUCAUUUACCUAUCAAAUGAGUAGGCUAAAAAUGAACGGCUAAAAAUGAAAAUCUCGUAAAAAAUGAUGAUAAAAAACUUGAAUUUAAGAUUAGAGGUACUGAUCUUACUCUAAAUAGUAAAAAGAAUUUUUUAUAAAAAUUUCAUCAGAUUUGGAUUGUUUUACACCGUGAAUUUAAAUUCACAAGCGUAUCACAUCUACCAUUAAUAUUGUCAAUUUUGAGACCUUUUGAUUACUAGUCAAAUGAUGUUGAGAAAUUAUAAAAUUUAGUUUCCAAAUACUUUUAAUGGUGUAGAUCAAGUCUAACGGAGCCGAUCGUUGAUUUGAAAGCCGCAUCAUUGAAAACAACUUGGCAGCACGGAGGCCUCCGUGCUACCGAUAGUAUANAGAGAGAGAGAGAGAGAGGGGGAGUGGAUGAGUGGUCCACAUGCGGUCCACGAGAACCAACCUUUCUCGUGGACCGCAUUUUUUGAGAGCGGCUGGGAGCAGCGUCUUUUGCUAGAGGUUUUCGUUUUCCGCCGACAGUGGGUGGAAAACGAAAACUCGUUUUUUUCGAAGAAUCCGUAAACAUUUUUUUUAUGAGCAACCAAACAACGGAAAACUACUUUUCAAGCGAAAAAAAUUUUCCGAGUAGUUUUACGGGGAACCAAACAUACCCUUACCCGUAAUGAGUCCUUUGACUGCCAAACUGCAGGAUCCUGAAUUCCUAAUUGUAUAUAGGUGCAUCUUUCUUUUUCAUCUGUACUUCACAAGCUCUAUUAUAUGCAUCUGUUAACUUUUCUGUUUCUCAGUGUUAUUCAUAACCAUGUCGAGUGCUUUUUGCCCCUCUUGUAGGCUAACUUCUGCCCUCCGAAACCAAUUCGUGGUGGUAUACCAAUAUGCUUUCCUCAAGUAAGGCUGCAUUUUGUUAGAUCAAUCAUUUCUUUAUGAUUCAUCAGACGUGUGUAUUUUGAAUACCAAGAAGUUACUCCCGAAUGCAGCUUGGGAAUCAUGGAACUCUUGAACAACAUGGAUUUGCUAGGAAUCAUCUUUGGACUGUUGAUGAGAACCCACCACCUUUUCCUGCACAUACAUCUACUAAGGCUUUUGUUGAUCUGAUUUUAAAGCCAUCAGAAGAAGAUUUGAAGAAUUGGCCUCAUAGGUCUGUUUUCUCUUAAAUGGGAUUUAGGGCUAAUCUUGUUCAUCACUGUGGGGAAAUUUAUUUAUUUAUUUAUUUUAAUUUUCUAGUUGUUACUUUACUUUCUUCUAAUUUUGUACAUAUUAAAUUUUUUCCUUUCUUUACUGAAUUCUGUUGCCAAUUCCUGGUGAUUGCAGUUAUGAAUUUCGCUUGAGAGUUGCCCUUGGACCAGGAGGAGAUCUGAUGCUCACGUCCCGCAUAAGAAACACAAGUACUGAUGGAAAACCAUUUCAGUUUACAUUCGCAUAUCACACAUACUUCUCUAUCUCAGAUAUCAGGUUUGCACAAGCUCGUUCCUUAUUUAUCACACAUAUAUUACUAUUUGGAAUCCUUAAAAAGUCCAGGAAUGAAAUACUUGCAUGAUGUGCUAAGUUUCCAUUCAUCACAAUUCAGCCAACCAGAGUUCCAACCAGAGUUCCAACCAGAGUUUCCGUGUGUAUGAAAUAUAUUUAGCCAUUGUUUAAGUACAUAUUAUGUUGUGAGCCUAUUUCUAUUUUUGAGCGUGACCUCGAAUGUUCCCUUCGUUUCUUGCUUUAGGACCUUAAUAAUAGUUGAUGUUUCAGUGAAGUUCGUGUUGAAGGACUGGAGACAUUGGAUUACCUUGAUAAUUUGAGAGAGAAACAGCGCUUCACCGAACAAGGAGAUGCAAUCAUAUUUGAAUCUGAAGUAAGUUGAGCCUGAUAUUCAAUAUGUUUGAAAUGGUUGAUAUGCAAUACUUACGCCAUUGAUGGCAUAGGUGGACAAAAUAUAUUUGGGCGCACCACCGAAGCUUGCCAUUAUUGACCAUGAAAAGAAAAGGACAUUUGUAUUGCGGAAAGAUGAUGGGCUUCCAGAUGCCAGUGAGCCUUCCCUCCUUCCCCCUCCUCUUUCCUCUUUUUUUUUUUUCUCUCUUGGUUAUUAUGGUUCUCAGUAGUCAUGCUAGACCUGAGUACAGCCUGGGUUGGUCAAGGAUCAAGAGAAAAUUGGCUGGCCCAAGUGCAACCCGCAUUGCGAACUAAAAAUUGGCUGCGCUGGGCCAACCCAAAAGUGACUGGGCUGGGCUGGCUCAACCAAAAACAUUGUAGCCCAAGUAUGACCUAAAUCUUCUCUAGCCUCUGUUUUUCAAACCUGAUCUGGUCUAAUGAACUGGAUUGGGCUGAACCCAGCUCAAAAAGCCGAGCACGGCGGUGCGGAUCUUUUUGCUCAGGUCUGGUCUUGCAGUUUCUGUUUAACCUUCAUCUUACACGACUUAUUGGUGCCUCUCUCUCUCUCUCUCUCUCUCUCUCUCUCUCUCUCUCUACAGUUGUAUGGAAUCCAUGGGACAAGAAAGCCAAGGUGAUACCAGACCUGGGGGAUGAAGACUACAAGCAUAUGAUAUGUGUGGGGGCUGCGGCGGUCGGUAAGUCGAUCACAUUGAAACCUGGUGAGGAAUGGAGAGGGAGACAGGAGCUCUCUGCCGUUCCCUCCAGUUACUGCAGUGGGCAGUUGGAUCCUCGAAAGGUUCUCGAAGGUUUAUUGUAACUCACAUCUCGCUCAGGUUACUUUUUCCCCUUAUAAUGCAUUAUAACUACAAACGUAACAAGUCGAUGAUUUAGGAUAAAUUCGGUUAUUGGCAAAAUUUCGCGAAAUUUAGUGCCCCCAGCCGUUAAGUUAAUUAUGUGGGCAAUCUACAGAUUUUUCAUAGCUUUUUAUGGUUAAUAGAUUUGUUGAAUUGCAGGGGCUCUUGCUGCGCUUUCUCUUCCUUUCUUGUCAUCGUCAUCAUUCAGUGUGUUUUGCGGGACAGCAGAUCCUCAGAGCUGGAUUAGUAAAUUCCGCGUUCUAAAGAACUUUCAUGGAGAGGGAUUUUUUUUUUUAACACCUCGCCCCGCUGGGCACAAAAUAGAGGGCUGUUGUUUGGCUCAUCUAUUUCACGCUCUUUUCGAUGCAUAUCAUCCUGUUAAUCUGAAAAUCAUCCGGGAUAAAGAAGAGGCAUUAUAAAGUGUUUUUUUUUUUUUUCCCUUUUUAUUUUAUCUGUGGAUGUAUUUCGUGUGCUUUUAAAGCCUUUUUGCUGUAAAAACUUUUAGACUGGUGUUUGAAUUUUGGUGUUGUUCAUUGGUACUAGUACAGAGUUUGGUGGUUUAUUGUGUUCUUUUAUAAAAUAGCAAGGAUGUAAAGGUCAACUUCAAAUUCGCCAGUAGAGGUCUAGUGCUUUUUCACUUUUUCAUCUUGUAAUUCAAAAUUUGCACUCAGCUACUCUGCCGUUUUGUUUUAUUUUACUGUAAACCAUGUCGUUAAUUACGGUAGUGAAGUGAUAUAUUUUGUAAACCACAAGAUAAUACAAUAAGAUAUUUUAUCGUCGUAUAAUCUGUAUAUUAUCGUUCUGCGGUCGUCAAAGAGAGUAUCAGUUUACUACUCUGCGCAGCGAUGGAUUCUUAGCCUGCAUUAUAGUUAAAUGUAACUGCUUGAACUGUAGGAUGACGAAGUCAAAAGAGCCAAAUUAAACUUUUCCCAAAAUGAGGAAACAAUAAAUCAUUUAUUCAACUAAAUUUCAAUUUUCUGGGAAAAACUACCAAAAUGACUUUCAACUAAAAGUUUCAAUGCUAGUUUGAAAUACAGUGUUCGAGCAUGACAUCUAACCAGAAUAAUAAAUAUACUUGUCCUAAAAGUUCAUGAAGUAUUUAUUUAUUUAACAUUAUUUGUUAAGCUAAGUGAUAAUCCGGAGUAUAAGUAUAACAAAAGCAAAGCAGCAGCAAGAAUAAGGCUUUGUUUAGGAUUGCGGGGAGAUUGCAUUAUGUGCGGUGAGAAAGUGUAAUAUUACGUUCCGCAUAUCGCGAUGAAUCGAUUACGAUAUAUUUUUCUGCGGUCCUACCGGAGAACGCAGAAACAUAUUCCCAUAUGCUUUUUCCUCAACUCCAUUUUAUCUAAUAGCGUUAGAUAGAUUUUAAUACCAAACUAAGAGCAAAGGUGACUGA